UCAAUGACCAUAUACUCCAAUUUCUUUCACAACCUAAGUUUGGCUUAAAAUUUUAACAACAAUCUUUUGUAGAUGUGGACCUUCGUCGCCAUAGUUGUUCCACCAUUUAGCUAUAAUAAAGAAAAUGCAUACUUAUUAAUCACUAUGAUAUAUUUAACAAAAAAUGAUGAUAAUUUCUUAUAUGUAAUAAACGUAAAUGUAUUGAGUACCUGGAAGAGAUUGAUUUAUUGCUUUAUUUGUAAGUGCACUUCCAAAUUCUCCUUGGCCGUCAAUAAAUAAUUUCACCUACAUCAUUAACAUUUUAUUUUUAUUUUUUUGUUAAUGCACAUUACAUAUACAAAAUGUAUUAUAGAAAGGUCACAAACUAUUAUUAUACCUCGUUAAUAGCUUUUGCUUGUCUAUCCAAAUGUGACUCUAAUAUCUUGAUAACCUCCUUUAAUCCAAUUUUAAUUUUCGGAUGGUUGGAGAAAUACUUUGAAUAUUGGAACAUUGGAUUUAAAAAAAAUAUGUUGUCAUAAGUUAAAUAAUGAUCGGUUUAUAAUAAUUUGUACUUGAAAAAAUAUAUAAAGAAUUUUUUUUAUUACCUGUAGCAUGCAAAUGUCUGUGCAAUUGACCUUCCUACCUUCUAUCAAUGUCUUCCCAAUACUUUUCCUAUUGCUUGACCGAUGCCUUGAUAACCAAUUUAGCUCUAUCCAUUGCUUCAUAAAUGAUUGAUAAUGUGGGCUUUUUAUCUUGAUAAACCAAUUUCAAUAUUUUGACAAGAGUAUCCAUGAUAGUUUGAACUUCCCCUACCUUCUUCCAAAAUCGAUCAGUUAAGAUAAGGUUGGAUACCUUAUCUCUUAGACUUUUUCUACUCCUAUCUUUAUUGAAUUCAUGCCACUCAUUUGUUGUGCACAUUCUAUUCAAAUCAGCCUCAUAACAUAUAAAACUCUCAAGUGAAAUGAAUUCAAUAGCAAAACGGGUUAUUCCUAGCCUUAACGGAUCUCUAUCAUUGGUGAACACUUUCAUCAAAUUCACUACUUUCAACUAUUAUAAAUAAAUCUUGUGAUCAUCUUUCCUUGAUCUAAUGUCUCCUUAAUCUGCUUCAUGCUUGAAAUAUUUUCAAGCAUUAAAUCAAUAUAGUGGGUUGCACAAGAAGACCAAAACAAAUGUUUCUGCUUCUCCAUCAACAACAUACCGUUGCUUUAAAACUUGCCUCAUUGUCAAUGACUACUUGAACAACAUUUUCUUCCCCAACCUUCUCUACAACUUUAUCCAUAAGGGAAAAGAUGUAGUCUAUUGUCUUAGAUAUGUUGGUAGUGUCAACUAAAGAAUGGUAGAUCAUACUUCUAUCACAAUAAAUCAUGAAAUUGAUGAUAGGCUUUCUAGUCCUAGAACUCCAACCAUCACACAUGAUUAUGCACCAAUAUAUAGGUCAUUUAGCCUUCAAUGUUGUUAUAUAAACCACAAGCUCUUUCACCUCCUCUUCCAAAUAUGUAUUUCUAAUUCAGUAUCCCAUGGGACCCUUGAUACUCGGACCUGCUUCUACUAUGGUAUCAAUCAUUGAUUGAUAGUAAGGACCACUGUCAGCUACAUUAAAGGGUAUUGCAUUAAAGAGAAAGAAUGUAGAAAUAGUUUUACCCACUUUUUUUACGUCUUUAGUAGAAAACUUUGAUGGGAACAUGUAGGGAUCAAUUCCUUUUGGAGGUGUGCUAGCUCCCUCUCUUACACUGAAGCUAUGUGUCGGUUUGCGCUUAAUCCUAGCAUUAGAAGGUUGUGAGGAACUAGCACCCUUCUGAUGGUCUUGUCCACUUUUUUCAAAAAUUCGACGAUUUUCUUUUAUUGCUUGUUUCAUUUGUCUUCUUUUAAGAUCAGCCAUAGUAACUUCCUCAAUUUCAUCAUCAGAAUCACCCUCAUCAAUUUCAUAGAAAUUUUCUUUAUUUAAGGAACUCAAAAGUCAUUCUUUUUUUUUUUUCUUUAACUGUGUUUUUUUCUUUUGCAAUAUCAAACAUAUGUUAUCUAACACUAUGUGACACUUCUACCGGUACACGUGGACAUCAUUCCACUUGUCCAGAUAUAUGUGUGAUGUGUUGCUUUAAUCUUGUUAUACCGCCAUGUAUAACUUUCCCAUAAUAUUUACAAUCUGUGGUUCUUCUACUACCACUAACAGGUUCUGCAUGCUUCCAACCAAUAUCAUGUUUUGAAGCCAUUUUGAAAUUUUAGCCUAACCAUAUAUAAAAGGAAAACAACUUACUUUUCAAAUUAAAUAUAUAUAAACACAUUUAUAUAAGAAUUAUAAUAUUCAAUUUUCCACUCACUUAUAUGUUUCAUAUUGUUUCCAUAUAAAAAUAAAUUCUACUAAAAAAAUAAUAAACACAAUCUCACCUAAGUUUACCAUCUUUUAUUUUUCCACGUAUUUAUAUGUUUUUUAAUUAAAAUAAAUAAUAGUUAAAUAAAUGAAUAUUUUUAUAAUAAAAAAUCAUUUAAAAAAGUUUGUUUUGAUAACUAUUGAUUUUCUAUUGUAAUUUAAUUGUAGAAUAUUAUAAAAUAAAAAAUCUACAUGAUAUAAUGAAGUAAAAUUGAUUCAAAUAUAAAUGUAAUUUCUUUAUAUCAUGUAAAUGCAUACCCUUCAAUCCGAAUUAUUAAAUCUUACUUUUAUAGUUAUGAUUAUUUGAAAAAAAAAUUGUUUUAAAUAAUUAUUAAUUUUCUAAUGUAAUUUAAUUUUGCAAUAUUAUAAGAUAAAAACAUAAAUUAAAAAUAUAAUAUUUAUAUCAUAUAAAGUUUACCAUAUAAAUGUAUUUUAUAUUAAGAAAUAUAAUUUCUAUACCAUCCAAAAUAAUUUAGUGAACCAAUUUAAUAUUAUAAGACAAAAAAAAUUACAUAAUUUAAUAAAUUAAAAAUAUAAUCUCUAUAUAAAAUAAAAACAUUAUAUAUAAAUAUAUUUAAUAUCAUCAUAAUAUUAUCAUUAUGAAUUCUCCAAUUUCAUAUAAACAUUACUUUCCAAUUCUUCAAUUUCAUAACAUUACAUCUAAACAUUACUUUAUACUGCAUACAUGAAUUUCCUAAUUUUACCAAUUUAAAUACAUGUAAAUUAAUUUAAUAUUAUAAAAUAAAAAAUUUACAUAAUUUAAUAAAUUAAAAAUAUAAUCUCAACAUAAUAAGGUAAACAAAAUUUUAAAUAUAUUUUUAAUUGAUUCAAAUUAUGUAAUUUUUGUAAUCUAAUCUCAAAUUAUGAAUCAAAUUAGUCAUCAAUAUAUAAUUUACCAAUUUAUAUAAUUUGAUUUAAUAAAUUAAAAAUAUAAUCUCAACGUGGUGUGACUGUGUGUGGCAAUGUGGGUGUGAUGAUUUAAAUAAGGUAAAUCAAAUUUUACCUUUACUAAUAUAUCUUCAAUUUCCUUUUUGUUAGCUUGUCUUCCCCAAGGACCUAACACACCACGAUUUGAUGGCUAUCUUCCCCAACACUCCACAUUCUACAGAUUGUUAGACAUUUCCCAACACACCCUCAUUACCACAAACAGUCACACGUUUAUAGCAGUCAUGAUAACACAUAACCACAAUCAAAGGAAGGAUUGCUUUGUCGUCGUCCAGUCACCGUUGUGGCACCGGCGGUGCACUAAAGAUCUACACUUCGGCAAUGGUAGAUUUAGGGUUAAGUAAGUAAAUUUUCCACCAUGCAUCAUCAUUUGUUGAUUUUUUUUUCUCUUUUUAAAGGCUUUUGAAAGGGUCACGGGUUUGUUUCAAACUUGUUUUUUUCUUCUACUCAUUUGAUGUUGUGGUUGAAAGAUUGGGUUCGUGAAUCACAGAUUCAUGGAUGUUUUCUUUUGUAGAGGAAUCUCUGAUUUUUGUUGUGAUGGGAAAGGAGAAGGAAUCUCUUUAUUAGGUUUUUUUUAACCGAGUUGGCCAAGUUAACUCGGAAUAUCAAUCGAGUCAUCCAAGUACAACCGAUUCAAGGGCAAGUUUGGGUAUAAAUCCAUAUCUAGUAUCGGACUCAUCGCGGUCAGCGUCGAGGUGGAUACAACUCAACUGAGUCGUAUCGGACUUAACAGAUUUUUGAACGCUGUUGAGAAUAUAUGAGAGUUGAAUGCUAGCUUGAGCUUUCGCGAAGGUAACUACUUCAUAACUAAGAUCAAUUGAAACAUCAACUUUGAUCAUUCCAUCUAAAGGGUAGAAUAGGGUUAAGGUUUCUAAUAGAGAAUUCUUCAACCGUGUACAUAUGAUGGAGUAAUCCAAAUCGUCAUCACACUCAAAGGCAACAUAGAAUAGAACAAUAGGCACAUAGGUUGGGGGAACAAGUUGAUCUACGAGAGAGAGUUUGAAGCUUUUAAAAUAAUAUGGAGUUGGGGAGGAUGGUUUGAUGGAUUCCAUGGAGAUUAUCUCAUACUCAUCUUUGAAUUUGAUUUGCAAUACUAAAAAAAAGAGCUAUGAGCUAGGCCUUGUUAUAAUUGGUAGUAGUUUUCCCGACCAUCAUAUCCAUAUAUAUAGAGCACAUGGGGCCAUGCUUUCAUGCACAGUUUGUUACCUAGCAUUGUCUAUAUAUUAAGCACAUAGAAUCAGGGUUCAAAAAAUCGGUCGAGUCCGGUACGACUCAACCGAGUCAUAUCCACCUCUAUGCCAAUCGCAACAAGUUUGAUACUAGAUAUAAAUUUAUACCCAGACUCAACCUUGAAUUGGUUGGACUCGGAUGACUUGGCUGAUAUUCCGAGUUAACUCGACUGACUUAGUAAAAAAAAAUAAAAAAUAAAAUAAAAUAAACCAAUCAAGAGAUUCUUUCUCCUUUAAUAAUUAUUUAAAACAAUUUUUUUUUCCAAAUAAAUUUUUUUUCAAAUAAUCAUAACUAUAAAAGCUAUAAUUUAAUAACACAGGUUGAAGGGUAUGCAUUUACAUGGUAUAGAGAAAUUACAUUUAUAUUUGAAUCAAUUUUACUAUGUUAUAUCAUGUAGAUUUUUUAUUUUAUAAUAUUCUACAAUUAAAUUACAAUAGGAAAUCAAUAAUUAUCAAACAAAACUUUUUUAAUAGAAUUUUGUUUUAUAAAAAUAUUCAUUUAUUUAACUAUUAUUUAUUUUAAUUAAAAAACAUAUAAAUAAGUGGAAAAUAAAAUAUGGUGAACUUAGGUGAUAUCGUGUUUAUUGUUUUUUUUUAGUAAAAUUUAUUUUUAUAUGGUAACAAUAUAAAACAUAUAAGUGAGUGGAAAAUUAAAUGUUACAAUUCUUAUAUAAAUGUGUUUAUAUAUAUUUAAUUUGAAAAGUAAGAUGUUUUCCUUUUAUACAUGGUUAGGUUAAAAUUUCAAAAUGGCUUCAAAACAUGAUAUUGGUUGGGAGCAUGCAAAACCUGUUGGUGGUAGUAGAAGAACCACGAAGUGUAAAUAUUGUGGGAAAGUUAUACAUAGCGGUAUAACAAUAUUAAAGCUACACAUUGCACAUAUAUCCAAACAAGUGGAAGGAUGCCCACGUGUUCCGGUAGAAGUGUCACAUAGUGUUAGACAACAUAUGUUUGAUAUUGCAAAAGAAAAAACACAGUUAAAGAAAAAAAAAAAUAAACAACAUUUGAGUUCCUUAAAUAAAGAAUAUUUCCAUGAAAUUGAUGAGGGUGAUUCUGAUGAUGAAAUUGAGGAAAUUGUUAUGGUUGAUUUUGAAAGAAGACAAAUGAAACAAGCAAUGAAAAAAAGUCAACAAUUUUUUUAAGAAGGUAGACAAGAGCAUCAAAAGGGUGCUAGUUCCUCACAACCUUUUAAUGCUAGAAUUAAGCGCAGACUGACACGUAGCUUCAGUAUAAGAGAAUGAGCCAGCAUACCUCUAAAAGGAAUUGAUCCCUACAUGUUCUCAUCAAAGCAAAAUUCAAUAAAUAAAUAAAAAAAAAUUGUUUUAAAGUGGUUAAAGCUAUUUCUAAAUUCUCUCUUUAAUGCAAUACCCUUUAAUGCAGCUGACAGUGGGCCUUGCUAUCAAUUAAUGAUUGAUACCAUAGCAGAAUCAGGUCCAGGCAUCAAGGUUCCACGGGAUACCAAAUUGAAAAUACAUAUUUGGAAGAGGAGGUGCAAGAGCUUGAGGUAUAUAUAACAACAUUGAUGGCUAAAUGGCUUAUAUAUGGGUGCACAAUCAUGUGUGAUGGUUGGAGUUUUAGGACUAGAAAGCCUAUCAUAAAUUUCAUGAUUUAUUGUGAUAGAAGUAUGAGAUACCAUUCUUCAGUUGACACUACCAACAUACCUAAGACAGCAAACUACAUCUUUUCCCUUAUGGAUAAAGUUGUAGAGGAGGUUGGAGAGGAAAAUAUUGUUCAAGUAGUCAUUGAUAAUGAGGUAAGUUUUAAAGUAGUCAGUAUGUUGUUAAUGGAGAAGCGGAAACAUUUGUUUUAGUCUCCUUGUGCAACCCACUAUAUUGAUUUAAUGCUUGAAGAUAUUGCAAUCAUGAAGCAGAUUAAGGAAACAUUAGAUCAAACAAAUAUGAUCACGGGAUUUAUUUAUAAUAGCUUGAAAGUAGUGAAUUUGAUGAAAGCGUUCACCAAGGAUAGAGAUCUGUUAAGGCCAAGAAUAACCCUUUUUGCCACUGAAUUCAUUUCACUUGAGAGUCUUAUACGUUAUGAGGUUGAUUUGAAGAGAACGUGCAUAACAAAUGAGUGGCAUGAAUUCAAUAAAGAUAUGAGCAGAAAAAGUCUAAGAGAUAAGGUAUCCAACUUUAUCUUAACUAAUCGAUUUUGGAAGAAAGCAAGGGAAGUUCAAACCAUCAUGGAACCUCUCGUCAAAGUAUUGAAAUUGGUUGAUCAAGAUAAAAAGCCCACACUAUCAAUCAUUUAUGAAGCAAUGGAUAGAGUUAAAUUGAUCAUCAAGGCAUCAGUCAAGCAAUGCGAAAAGUAUUGGGAAGUCAUUGAUAGAAGGUAGGAAGGUCGAUUGCACAGACAUUUGCAUGUUGUAGGUAAUAAAAAAAACUCUUUACAUAUUUUUUAUUAUUUUUUUCAAGUACAAAUUAUUAUAAAUUGAUCAUUAUUUAACUUACGGCGGCAUAUUUUUUAAAUCCAAUGUUCCAAUAUUCAAAGUGUUUCUCCAAUCAUUUGGAAAUUAAAAUUGGAUUAAAGGAGGUUAUCAAGAUAUUAGAGCCAGAUUUGGAUAGACAAACAAAAGCUAUUAACGAGGUAUAAUAAUAGUUUGUGACCUUUAUAUAAUACAUGUUGUACAUGUAAUGUGCAUUAACAAAAAAAAAUGUUAAUGAUGUAGGUGAAAUUAUUUGUUGACGGCCAAGGAGAAUUUGAAAGUGCACUUACAAAGAAAGCAAUAAAUCAAUUUUUUCCAAGUACUCAAUACAUUUAUAUGUCUAUUACAAAUAAAAAACUAUCAUCAUUUUUUGUUAAAUAUAUCAUAGUGAUUAAUAAGUAUGAAUUUUCUUUAUUAUAAUUGAAUGGUGGAACAACUAUGGCGAUGAAAGUCCACAUCAUAAGUUAGUUUAUGUGCAGUACAAUAUGCGACUUCGAGUUAAGAAUUUGAUGCAAAGUGAAACAAUGAAGAUUUAUACAAUCUAAUUGAUCUGAAUCUUAUCUUUAAUGAUGAUGAUAUAUUAUAUGAGUGGAUACGAGAAGGAGAUGAGCCUAUUUUAUCAUCUGAUAAUUUGGAUUGGUUGGAUAAAGGUCUUCCCCCUAGUGAAGAAGGUAAAGAAACAGUUCAUGAAGAUGAUGGUGCCACAAAUCGUAGAGUUAGUAGGCGUACAAGUAAUGCUACACAAGAAAGAGAUAUUGAUUCUCAUCGUAAAGGUAAGGUUCCUAGAAUAAUUUCUUCAAGUUCUAGUAGUGAUGAUGGUCACAAUGGGGGCAGUAGGUGGGGUGGUGGCACUAGUGGGGGCAGUAGAGGAGUUGGUGGCACCGGUGAGGGUACUGAGGAGAUGGUAGCACUGGUGGCGGUUAUGUUAGUUAAGUAGAUCCUAGCAUGUCAUGGGCAAAAGGAGAUGAAAAUUACUAUGCCAUGCAAGAUACAUAUCAUGGAUAUCGACCAGGGAUAUGGGAACAACAAAAGCAUUUGGAAAGGCUAACUACAUUUCCCAACGAUGAUGAUUAUUCUAGUGGGCAUGAUUAUCAUAGAUCAAAAUAUCAUCGUAUUGAUGAGCACUUACAGAAUUUAUGUAUAAGAUCAAGGUCGUAUUUCAGAAGAGUAGAUGAUAGAUCAUAUCACAACUUUAGAGACCGUGAUAGCUCUUCCAAUACUUAUAGUAGAAAUGAUUUUGAUCGAUUUCCAAUGAUGCAUCUAGAGGAAUAUUCAAAUACUGGAACACGAGCUAGUGAUUCCUAUGGAUAUGAUCAAUCUUCUAGUAGUAGUAGCAUCGUUUAUCGAGGUUUUGGAUACUAUCAAUAUGGUGUUGAUCCCAAACAGCCUUCGAAACCAUAUUUUCUUGAUUAUGGAUCAUCAAGUCAAUCAUCUCAACCAACAUAUUCGAGUAGUGAACAACUCUUUCAACCAUAUCCUCACUACGAGAAUUACCAUCCCAAUUUGUAUACUCGUCGUAGGACUGAUGAUGAUGAUUUUGAACCUCCUUGUCAUUCAACAUGGAAUUGAUUAUUGUAUUGUAUAUUUGUUAGUAAAAAUGUUAUUGUAUUUGAAAUAAAAUAAUUUUCUUUUAUUAGCAUUAUCAUAAAUAACUUUGAGCGAAUACUUUUAUAACUAUUUAAAUAGUGUUAAAUAUGAGACAAUUUUAUUUUAUUAAUUUUUUGAACUUAUUUAAUUGUAUAUAUUUUUAUGAUAAUUUACAUAAUAUUUUUAUAAUUUUUAAAAUUUUCUAAUUAGCUUAUUUUACGUAUCAUCCGAUACCAAACCGAUACAUUGAGACCGAUAUACCUCAGGACCCUCCGAGUCAGUGACCGAUACUGCGACUUUGAACCAUGGCCAAUGGUGCAACAUUAGCCUCAUUUCUAUGUGGUUGGACUUUAACCGCUAGCAGGGCUUUUGAAAGCAUUGCUGAUCCUCUUUUUGAUAUGGCAACCCUCUUUCCCCCGAGUGAUCAUCUGCAUGUGAUCAUGCCAUCUGGUUUGUUUAGUAAGCAGAAGAUUGUAACUAAGAGGUUUGUGUUUGAUGCAACCAGCUUAGCCACUCUAAAAGGCAGAGCUGCUAAGGCCACCUGCAUGAACAACCCGACUCGCAUUGAAGCCAUCACAGCUCUUCUCUGUAAGUCUGCAAUGAAUUCAACCAGUGGAAAAUCUGGGAAGGCAACGCUACCAAGGAUAAAAUCCCAUGUAGUGAAUCUGAGAGAGGAUGGUCCCAAAGCUUCCAGGCCAUGCGUUUGGCAAUCUCUGGCGUAACGCCAUUGCUUCAAUAGCAGAGGGCAACAACAAGAUAGAGCUGCCUGAUAUAGUUGUUCAGCUGAGGACAGCCACAAGGAAGAUCAAUAAAGAGUACGUGAGGAAACUUCAAGGUGAAGAUGGGCUAUCACAGGCUAUUGAAUCUCUGAAAGAAGUAAGUGAAAUGGUGACCAAAGGGCAGGUUGAGUUUUACAGGUCUGGCAGUUGGGUGAGAUUUCCAUUUUACCAGACUGAUUUUGGAUGGGAAAAGCCUAUGUGGGUAUGCACCAGCAAUGCGCCUAUUAAGAAUGUUGUUAUCUUGAUAAAAGCACGAGGUCCGGUGAUGGAAAAGAGGCAUGGGUAUCGAUGGAUGAACAACACAUGACCAAGUUUGAACGUGAGGAGCAGCUUCUCAUGCAUUUUCGCCCCAACCAUAUUGCAUGUGAUUCAAACAUUGGUUCAACUCCUCUAGAAGCAUAUGUCUAUUCAAACUCACCAUCCAGAAACACGGUCUGUAAAUUGUUGUCAGUCAAAGUCAUCAUCAAGAAGCGUUUCCAAAUCCUCCAUGCGAAGAAUUUAUUGUCCGUGCUCAAAAAUAUACAGAGACCACCUAAGCUUAAAGCCUUAAACUAAUGAAUAAGAGCUUAGACCUACUUUAUUAACUACUUAACAUUAUAUUAAAAUCGUCUGGAGCUAAAGAAAUUACGUGGCUCCAAACAUCAAAUUACUGAAGUUAUUAAUUCAUAGCUUAAAUUUUGGGGCUCUUCCUAUUUUUGCGAUUUGGGCUCCAAUUAGAGCGAGGAUAUGCUCAAACUUAUCUUUUCUAGCUGUGGAGGCUUGCAUCUAAGAUUUGGGCUGAGUAACGUCCAAUGGGCUAAGCAGUUACGAAGGAAAAUUGAAUGGUAUUGAAUAGAAACCUUGCCAUGGAAGAAAACUUCUCAUAAGCUUGAUGAUAAUGAGAAAUUGAUAGAUAAAAUUAAUUAAAACUUUAGAGAUACCAUUCCUAGCAUAUGUGGGCACAGCAACUCGAACUUAAUAGAUAAAUUUUUUUACUAAAUAAUAAUUUAAGGUAACAUUCCAAGACAAUACAUGUGGAACUUUGAGACUAAAGUUUUAAAGCUGAAAUAAAAUGGAAGGGGUAGCUUAGAAUCCUAUAUAUAUCGGGGAGAUAAAUUUUCUAUUUUUUGCUUUAAAAAAAUUAUAGAAUGUGUGGGGUUUUUAAGAGGUAGAAAUACACACUAAUUCUAAAAUACUUCAAAGAAAGGAAAAAUAUAAAAAUAAACUUUGAGAUGAUUUUUAUUCUUUGCAAAGAAUAAUAAGAUUUAAGGAAAGUUAAAUUGUCUACAAUAGGGUUGGCAAUGAGGCAGAUUUGGGAUGGGGAGCCCCUAUCCCAUUUCCGACCCAAUCAAAUAAUUUUUUUCUCAAACCUGACAUGGGCGAGUUGAUACAUUCCCAUCCCCAUUUAACAAAAGAUUUGUAAUCUUGUCCCCCCGCCCCGUUAAUGCAAAUCUCAAACCUUCUUAAUGUAAAUCCAAAUUCUACAUUUAUCAUGGAUUUGGGCCCCUCUCGGACCAAAUCCCUAUAAUAAAACCUUGUCAAAUCCUCUAGUUCAUUUUCUUCACUUUCAAGGCUUUCGUAUUCUUUCCGAAUUGUGCCUUUGAAAAAAAUACUAUUUCUUUUGCAAUUUUGCACAGUUUAAAAUCCGAUGAAGAAUCACAGUGAUUGCAAAGGGGUUUCAAUGGUUGAGAUUGAAACAAGAAGGAUGGGGUUUCAUUUUAUGAGUGGGAGGAAGAAGAAAUUAAUGAAGAAAUGGGAAGGGGUUAGUGACUGAGAUUGAAAUAAGAAAAAAUGGGUUAAAAUUGAUGUGUGGAAGAAAGAAGAAAUAGAGCAGAAAGUGGGCGAGGAAAGGAUUUUUGGCUAUAGGUUAGUAUAAAAUUCAUACCUACCCGAAUCCGAUUCGGGUUUGUGAGAAUAUCCCCAAACCCGUCUCAUCCCCGAAUGUAACAUUUUCAUACCCGUUCCAAUAAAGUUAGGAUAAGUUGGGUGGCCCGAAUAGCCUGUGAAAUUGUCAUCCCUAGUUAUAAUUAUAUAUAUGACAUGUCAUUUUCUACAUUGGAUAUGCUUUAAAAAAAAAAGUAAGUACCAAAGGAAGAGGCAACCUACCCUGGACCCGUAGGUUGGCCUGACUAACCAACCAACCCCAAAAAAGUCGAGCACAACCACUCUUGCCCCCAUACCUUCAAAAGUCAAUAAAGGGAGCACAAAGUCAUCGCAAUAAAACAAGACGGGAUCAUUUUCUAACAAUCUUGUAAACUUAUAGUUAAAUUAAUCAAAGACAAAGAAGUACUUAUCGCUGCAACUUCAUUGGACUUGAAUUAAAAAAAUGCCAACCCAAAAAUAUUAAGAGUUAUCUUUCGUCAAAAUCCAAACCCAUACAUUAUAUUAUAUAUUAUUUUAUUUAAAUAUAAAAAACAUAAAAAGAUAACAAAUAAUAUUUCUAACCUUUUUUAGUUUUUAAUUAUAUUAGACUUAUUAAGUGUAUCAUUUUCCUUAGUUUUUAAUUAUAUUUGAGUUUAUAAAUAGUUAUUUAUGUUGAAGAGGUAACUAAAUGUUUUUUAAGAUAUCUAGAGUUUAAUCUUUCAUUUCAAGGUAUGAAUUAUAUUUCACAGGUUUUGGAAUAAUUGUUUUGUGUGAUAACCCAUGUGGACUCUGGGAAUCCGAAUCCAAAUUGCCCAUGGACUUGUGAAUUGGAAAUUCCUAUCCCGACCACAGAUUGGAUUUAGUAUAUAUGAGUUGGACAUAUUGAUUCCAAACCUACUUAUCUGCUAAAGUUGUAGCUUUACGUGGGAGAAUAAAACUCUAUAUGAAGAAAAAAUUAGUAAGUAAUGGAAAGUGAAAUGGGUAAAAAGAUAUGUGUAUAUAUAUAUAUAAAUAAAUAGAAUUUAUGAUAGAACUGAGAAGUUUAUUCUUUUAUGAGUGCAAAGAAAAAAUAUGAAAGAUGUGUGCUUCUACUGGCUAGAAUCUAUCUUAUUUUUACUGAUUUUUGAUAGGGAAAGCCCAUGCGGUCAUGCUUGCAACAGUAAUAAUGUUCUAUUAAGCAAGUGGUUAUUUUGAUGGGCAGCUUGGAUGAACAAGACACAUGACCAAAUAUCUGAAGGUGAGAACCAGCUUCCCCAAUUUGACUGUACUCAUCCCCUAGAGUCAUAUAUUUCUACUCAGAUUCCCCACCUAGAAAGUAGAAACAUUAAUUAAUUAAUAGUCUGUGAGGGUCACCCACAUUAAUCAUCAUCAUCUAGAAGAGCAUAUCCGUAAGUCCUUCAUAGUGGAUUUUACUUUGAGUCAAUUGGUGAUGAUCAAAUAUUAGAAUCAUAUACCAAUAGUCACUUUUAGUUAUGUGAUGACCAAGUCCUCCACCUUUCUCCCAGUGGGGCACAUUGAAUGGCCUAUGAAAUACCAUGCCAUGCCACUUAAUAAUACAAUUAACUAACUUUAAUGUGUAACAAUGCUAGCAUUUUAAAAAUCUAUUGACCCUGGUCACCCAUGCAUAGAUCUCCUAGCUAGUGAACAAGUUCUUUUUCAUUGAUGAAUUAUGAAACGAGAUAUCAUAUUCAAUCAUGAGGACAAUGUGCCCUUAACUUCGGAUAAGAGUUCUAGAAGAAGGUGAAAACAUAGUAUAAAUAAAGUUGAGGAUAAAAUUAAAGAUUCAAACUAUAUGUCAUUACAAUUUGAUUUGGAUUCGACAAAAGUAAAACUUUAAUUCAAUAUUAUUUCCUGCACUUACCAAGUUCAAAGCCAAGUCACGGGUCACCAGGGGAGAUUCUCUAUCAUUUAAUUGGCUCAUAACAAUCUUUGUAAAAUAAAGAGCAAAGCUUCCACGACAGCAUGCCCCUUAUAUAGUCAUCAAUCUUCUCAUUAAUUGAAUUGGAUUCGAAUCAAUCAAGUUAUUUGCCUUCUAGUAGAUCAUGAGUGGGUUGGGGAAUAUUACCCAAAAAAACUAAGUCUUUUAAUUCAAAAUUAUCAAUUCAUAGAAUCAGAAUAAUUAAAUUUUUAAUUUUAAGAAUAUAAACUUUUAAGGGGUGUUUAGUAAAAGUUAAUACUUAUUAUUUUAUGAUUUAAGUUAAUUUUAAAUUAAAUUAUAUUUAAGUUGUUAAUUUAAAACUUAUUAUUUAAUUAUUAUUUUUAGGUAUUUUGUUUAUAGUAAUAUAAAUUAUAGUGAUGAUCGUGGAUAUAUAACACAGGACAACCAAAGGAAACUUGGAAGUUGGUUUCAAUUGGCAAGGGAUGGAAAUCAUGAAACCGGAGAUAAUAUCCCGACAAACCAUCAAACCUUCCUCUCCCACCCCAGAUUCCAAAAAAAUUUACAAGCUCUCCUUAUUAGAUCUACUUAUUGCUAAUCGCAUUUAUGUGCCUAUCAUCUUCUUCUAUCAGAACAAGGAAGGGGAUAACUCAGUUGAUGUCGCCCAUAUAUCAAGUGGGCUCAAGAAAUCCCUAUCUGAAACCCUAACCCAUUACUAUCCACUAGCUGGAAGGAUCAAAGAUGGAGUUACGGUUGAGUGCAACGAUGAGGGAGCCUAUUUUUCCGAAGCCCGAAUUGAUUGCCACCUGGAAGGAUUUCUAAAACAUCCAGAGGCUCGGGAUUAUUUAGACCUGCUUAUGCCAGUUGAAAUCCAAUCGAACAGCUCAGACAUGGGCAGUUUAUUGCUUAUUCAGAUCACCUUUUUCAGCUGUGGAAGAACUGCGAUUGGGAUGCGUGUGUCACACAAGGUUUCUGAUCUCCACGGCAUAAGUGCCUUCUUGAAUGACUGGGCCACGAUGGCACGUAAAUCUGGUGAGGAAAUCUCCGCUGAGUUAACUCCUUUCUUCCCACCCGGUGAUUCAUUGAGUAUGCCUGAAGCUAAGCCUUACAAAGGAAAUUUGGUCAAGAAGAGGUUUGUAUUUGACGCCGUAAAACUAGGUGCACUCAAGGCCAUGGCGACUCAGUCUGGAGUGGAAAAUCCCACACGGGUCGAAGUUGUGGCUGCUCUUAUUUACAGAUGUGCGGUUGCUGCAUCUAAAGUGAGCUCAGGUUCUCUAAAACCAUCUGUUCUACUCCAAACUGUGAACUUGCGGAAAAGGAUUGUCCCACCAUUGCCGGAGAAGUCUUUUGGAAACAUGGUUUGGUUUUAUAGCAUACACACUGCACGAGAGAGUGAGAUUGAGUUCCAUGCCUUGGUGGGUCAGUUGAAGGCAGGGCUGGCACAUUUCUGUGAUACCUAUGGGAAAAUUUUCACAGGACAAGAACUGAUACCGCUCAUGUUCAAGGAGAGGGCUAAAUUUACCCAUUCCAACGAUAAUCACCAUGUCAAUAAGUAUAUAUGCACUAGUUGGUGUAGGACUUCAUUAUACCAAACAGACUUUGGAUGGGGAAAACCCAUAUGGCUAAGUCCUACAGGCAUUGGUUCAAAGAAUAUAAUCUGUUUGACUGAUACCAGAGAAGGCGAUGGAAUUGAAGCAUUUGUUACUCUUGAAAAACAAGAGAUGGCUGUAUUUGAACGUGAUGAGGAGCUCCUUCAAUUCUCCUCUUUGAAUUAAUCCAGGUGUUGUUGAUGAUGAAAGAAGGUUUGGGGCUUCCGAUUGAACUUGGUGAUGGAAGAAAUCAGGAGAAACAGUCGUUUGGCUUUAGAUUUGCUUUCUGGUAUUGUGUGAUUAUUAUUAUUCCUUUUGAUGUUUGACUUUGUUGGGCUGUGGGGUUUGGGGUCUUGUUCUGUUCAUUGUGUACGCUUAAACAUUUCAUAUCAGGUUACUGUACGUAAUCGACACCUAGUUAAACUGUCCAUAAGGAAAACAAAAAAAAUAAUAAAAUAAACAAAUAAACGGAGAAGGAAGAAGGGACUAAACCGAGUCUUGUGAAGUCACAAUCUCCUUAAGAUAGAGUUACCUGAUAUGGGUUUCCAGCUAAGGAUAGCCAUAAGGAAGAUCAAUGAAGAGUACGUGAGGAAACUUCAAGGUGAUGAUGGGCUAUCACAGGCUACCGAACCUCUCAAAGAAGUAAGUGAAAUGGUGACCAAAGGGUAGGUCGAGUUUUACAGGUUUAGUAAUUGGGUGAGAUUUCCAUUUUACCAAACUGAUUUUGGAUGGGGAAAGCCCAUGUGAGUAUGCACAUGUAAUGCGCCUAUUAAGAAUGUUGUUAUCUUGAUGGGCACGAGGUCUAGUGGUGGAACAGAGGCAUAGGUAUCAAUGGAUGAACAACACAUGACCAAGUUUGAAUGUGAGAAGCAGCUUCUCCUGUAUGCAUUUUCGCCCCAACCAUAUUGCAUAUGACUCAAACAUUGGUUCAACUCGCAUAUAUAUGUCUAUUCAAACUCAUCACCCAAAAACACGGUUUGUAAAUUGUUGUCAGUCAAAGGCAUCAUCAAGAAGCGUAGGUGUUUCCAAAUCCUCCAUGUGAAGAAUUUAUUGUCCGUGUUCAGAAAUAUACAGACCACAUAAGCUUAAAGCCUUAAACUAGUGAAUAAGAGCUUAAUAUCAUGGGAUUAGGCUUUUCCAAAGUUGACGUGCAACACUUACACAAGAAGCAUAGACACUAAACCUAUUUUACUAACUACUCAACAUUAUAUAUGUAUAUAGAGGUACCAAAAUAGGUACUAAAAUCCGACUCACCCAAGCAUGCCGCCUAUUACGUAUGCCAAUGCAGGCCUUUCCAUAAGCAACACCUGACGCCAAUGCAGGCCUUCCCAUAAGCAACACCUGACUAAGCAGGCAAAAAUCUAAUCACGCAUUUAAUGUCGAAGUUAGCCAAUACCCACAAAGUCAAUAAAACAUUCUAUAUUUCUAUAAAGGUGCCUGAAAUCCAUUGACACUACCAACCACGUGAGCAUGCCCAUCGAUUGUAUAUAUAUAUAAACCCAACCAUGCAAAUAUGGAAGACACAUUAAAUGAAACUUUAAUAAAAUUAAUUAAAACUUUAGAGAAAACAUUCUUUAACAUAUGUGGGUACAGAAACUAGAACUUAAAAGACAAAAAAUUUUAUUUAAUAAUAAUUUAAGGUCAAAGGUAACUGUAGACCCCACAUUUCACUUGAUGGCGAAACUUUUUUUUUUUUUUUUUGUGAAAAAAUAUGAUUUUUAGAAAAAGACUUGGAGUCGCCACUUAUUUUUAUUUUUAUUUUUUUUAAAGGAAAAACAAAAUAAGAAAUGAAAACUCUAAAUGUGACUCCUGAAGGAAAAAAAAAAAAAACAAGUCUUCAAAAAACCAAGUCUGGGUCCAGGGAUCAGGUUACUUAUUGGGAAGGUACGAUAGUUAGCCGUGGCACCCCUCUAAGCCCGUAUACAUACAGUCUCUACUAAAUAAGAUGAAGCAAGUGUGACAAUUGAUAAUGAACGGAUACCAAUGAAAUGAUCAAAUAAUAAAACGAAUCAUGUAUAAGAAUAAGCAAAAUGGGAGUGAGAUCAUACCAUAGCAGCAAGUAAUAGUGCGCUAUAAUGGAAACAAGGUUAGCUCAAGUAUAAAAUUAUCACAUGCAUAUCAAAGAGCAAGACAAAGAUCAGUCAAUAUUCAUUAAGUAUGACAAUUGACAAUCAAAUGAGAAAACUCAUAUGUGGGGCCCCCACCAAAGCCCAAUUUAUCUUACAUGAAUUAGUCUCACAAAUUCCAUUAUUUUGAAAUCAUGAAAAAUUCAUUCUUGCUUAUUUAAAAAUCAAGAGAAACAGAAAAAUUAUUUUAAAAUCAAAGAAAAAUCUAUGAAGGUGCUUCCCUGAAAGAAAAAUGUAACCGGUUUAUUAAAAACAGGAUUUUUGGUCAUGAGGACGCUAAAUGUAAGGUGCCCAACAACAUGAAUUAAAUAUGUAUCGUGAACUCAAUGGACUAUGUCAUGGGCAAAGGAAGAGAAAGUCUAGAAGAGCAUGAUAAACAAGCGAUAAGCACAAGGUAACGAGGUGAGGAAAAUGAGGACAAAUGUAGUGAAGGCAAGAUGUGUAAUGCUAGUGAAUAUGAAUGCCAAGAGCUAUGACUCUAAAUAACAAGGUUGAGAAAUAGUGGCUCUAAACGCCAAAAAGAGGAAAGAUGGUGACUCUAAAUGCCUGAAUGAGUAUGCACGACAGCUCUAAACACCAAAACUAAAGGAAGAUGGUGGCACCGAAUGCCAAGUUGGACAAUGGCUCUAAAUAUCAAAAUGAAGACACAACUCUGAAUGCCAAACUAAAGAAGAUGAUGGCUCUAAAUGCAAAACUGAAGACAUGGCUCUGAAUGCCUAAAACUGAUGAAAGUGGCUUCAAAUGGCAAAAAUGACUCUGAAUGCUAAACUAAAAGAGAAUGGCAACCCUAAAUGCUAGCAAUGUGGCUCUAAACACCGAACUAAAAGCGAAGGACAACUCUAAAUGCUAGCAACUGCAAAUGCUAAGAAUGUGGCUCUAAACGCCGAACUAGAGGAAAAUGGCGGCACUGAAUGCCAGGUUGACUAAUGGCUUUAAAUGUCAAACCUAAGAUAUGAUGACUCUAAACUCCAAACUGUGAACGAAGGCUCUAAACACCAAACUAAAUAUACGACUUUGAACGCCAAGAUGAACAAUGGCUCUAAAUGUCAAACUAAAAACACAUCUCUAAAUGUUAAACUGAAACAAACAACGACUCUGAACGCCAAAACGAAGAUACUGCUCUAUGGUGGAUCUGAAUGCCUAACUAAAGAAAAACAUGAUGACUCUAAAUGCCGAACUAGAGACAUGGCUCUAAAUGCUAGACUAAAAAAAGAAAAAAAACUGAUAACACUAAAAACUAAAGACGAAGCUCUGAUGUUCAAACUGAACUGACAGCUCUGAAAGCUAGGAAAAUAACUCUGAACGUCAAAAAUGUUGCAAUGAAUGCCUGAUCGUGAUUUGAUGAUGGCUUCAAACGCCAAACAGGAGAUGCAACUCUGAACGCCAAAUUGGAAAUGCGGAUUUGAACGCCUAACUAAAAAAAAAAUAAUGGCUCUGAACGCCAUAACUGAGGAAGAAUGGUGGCUCUAAACGCCAAACUGAAAAUAUGAUGACUUUAAAUGUCGAACUAUGAACAAACAAUGGAUUUGAAUUCCAAAUUGAAAAGAAAUGGUGGCUCUGAACGCAGAGCUGACAAAUGGCUCUGAAAGCUUGACUGUGAAAGAUGGCUCUGAGCGCCAAACUAUGGAGAGAUGGUGGCUCUGAACGCCUGACUGUGAACAACGGACUCUAAAUACCAAACUGCGAAGAGAUGAUGACUCUGAAUGCCUGAAUGUGAACAAUGGCUCUGAACGCCUGACUAUGAGCAACGAGCUCUAAAUACCAAACUGUGGAGAAAUGAUGGCUCUGAACUCCUGAAUGUGAACGAUGGCUCUAAAUGCUUGAAUGUGAACAAUGACUCUGAACGCCUGACUACAAACAACGGGCUCUAAAUGCCAAACUGUGGAGAGAUGAUGGAUCUGAACGCCUGAAUGUGAACAAUGGCUUUAAAUGUCAAACUGUGGAAAGAUGAUGACGGCUCUGAAUGCCAAACUGUGAAUGAUGGCUCUAAACGCUAAACUGUGAACAACAAAUCUGAACGCCAAACUGAGAAGAGAUGGUGGCUUUGAACUCCUGACUAUGGAUGCAGUUUUAAACACUGACUAUGGAGAAAUGGUGGCUGCGAACGCUUGACUAUAGAUGCGAUGGCUCUGAAUGUCAAACUGUGGAAAGAUGAUGACUCUGAACACCUAACUGUAGAUGUGACAGCUUUAAACGUCAAACUAAAGAUACAACUUUGAACACCAAACUAAACAAUGACUUUGAAUGUCAAACUAAAAACACGGCUCUAAAUGUUAAACUGAAACAAACAAUGACUCUGAACGUCAAAAUGAAGAUACUACUCUAAACGCCGAACUAAAAAAGAUAUGGUGGAUCUGAAUGCCUAAUUGAAGAAAGACAUGAUGACUCUGAAUUCCGAACUGGAGACGUGACUCUGAACACUAGACUAAAAAAAGAAAAAAAAAAUAACACUGAAAACUAAAGACGAAACUCUGAAUACUCAAACUAAACUAAUAGCUCUGAAUGCUAGGAACGUAACUCUAAACACCGAAAAUGUGGCAAUGAAUGCCUGAUCGUGAUAGGAUGAUGGCUUUGAACUCCAAACUAGAGAUACAACUCUGAACGCCAAACUGGAGAUACAGCUCUGAACGCCUAACUAAAAAAAAAUGGUGGCCUUGAAUGCCAUAACUGAGGAUGUGGCUCUGAAUGUCAAACUGAAAAGAGAUGGUGGCUCUAAACGUCGAGCUGACAAAUGGCUCUGAAUGUCUGACUGUGAACGAUGGCUCUAAGCGCCAAAUUGAAAAGAGACCAGCUCUGAACGCCGAACUGAAAAGGACGACUCUGAACGUCGAACUAUGAAGGGAUAGUGACUUUGAACGCCAAACUGGAGAUACGACUUUGAAUGCCAAACUAAAAACAUGGCUCUAAACGCCAAACUGAGAAGAUAUGGUGGCUUUGAACGCCAAAUCUAUGAGAAAAUGAUGAGGAGGGAAAUAUACCUUAGUGUAGCGUAUCGCCACAACUCUCAAUCCACUAGAAAUGUCUGAAACAGGCUCCCUCAAUCUCAAAAGAUGCUCCACUAGUGAGUCGAAAUGGUCAAAUUGACUAUAAAUAUGGCCUCACAACCCAUCUAACUAAAUCGCAAGGUCUGACGAAGUGCCACAAUAAGUUGAACAUCUCCAACUCAAAAUUCUCUACGGGAAGAAUCCAUCGUCAUCUCAAAUGAAUGAUCCAAUGGAGAGUCUCAAGAGAAUAGUCCGUCGGGGUAACUACUGCGACCUUAACACAAAAAAUCUACUAAAAAGUCAUGGAUAGCGAGGCAGUUAAAACCCAGAAGGUCGUGCUCCUCUAGAGGCUCAUCUCGGCCAAAAUCACUGAAAUAGUGACACAAUAAUGUAAAUAAACAUUUCUCGACAAAGUAAUGAAGACCGUAAGAGAUCUGUAAGAAAACAAUCAUCUCUAGGGCUAAAGGGGUGGAAUAUGCCCCAAUAUAGCAACUAGAGCAUCCGGCUUACCCGAUGACUCGAGAAUAGUUCUAUGGGAUGUAUAAAAGGUCUGACAUGUACUCCUCUGAAAUAUAGACAUGAGGGUCUAAGCACUUGGGAUAACUCCAUCCAAGAAUCAUGACAAUAUUGGAAAACACGAGUCUGAUUGAAUGACUCAAGGAAGGCUCCACUGGAGAAUCAAGACAAAAUGAAAGCAAAUCAUCAACUCGGUGUGUAUCUCUGAUUCAACUCAUGGUAGCUUAGCUUUAAAGGCGUAUCAACAAAAUUUAUAUCUUGAAUACUAUUACUAAAGUAGCCAAGCUACUAUAGCAUAGUGGUUCUAGGAUCGUUCACUGGGAAGGGUUUUCGCAAACACAAGUGAUAUUCAAAUUAGGAAAAUAAGUGAUUUUCUUAUGGAUGUUAGCUUUAAAAGAAGAUGUAAAUGUUUUAGAAAGAUUUAAACUAAUCUAAGCUAACAUUAAAGACUAAAAUGAAAAGGUGUAAAAACAAGUUUCUCAAAGAUAGGAUAGCUAUGCUCUGGCUCUUAUGCAAAUUGGAAAUCUCAGGAUAGGCUCCUCGCGUUGGGGUUGCAACUAUGGUGAUGCUUGCUUCCCGAACCGGUAUGGAUUUAGCAAAUCAAGUUUUAAUCCUUUAAAAUGGCAAAACAGAUGGUAGUGAAUUUCAUCAAUGGUUAUUCACCUUAGACUUCCUUUGAAUGGCUCGUAAGAGAUAACUAAUGGUCUAAAGCCAAAAGCUUACCAAAUAUUGGCAACUCAAAGUCAUUCCAAGUGAUAAACUCACCUUUCAAUGGCCAUUGAAAUUGGUUCUAACGGAUUAAUACAAAACUUGGAAUUGAAAACCUCACCUUCCAAUAGCUCGUAGGAGAUAACUAAUGGAUAGAAAUCCAAAAGCUUAUCAAGUAUUGGCCGUUGGAAGUUGUCCAAAGGAAAUAAAAACCAAACUUUGCAUUAAUGAACCAUUAAUGAAAAACGACUACCUUACCUUCCGGGUGCGAGAAAUUUCCAUGGGAUUGCAUCCAAGCCAUCACAUAACAUCCAUACUUUGAGAAACUUAAAAGGUUUUAGCCUCUCAUCCUUGGGGAUUUCAUCCACCAAGGAUGUUUGGCUACUAAGAAAAUAGAAAUGGGGAAGAACCGGAGAAGAGAGAAAAAAAGAACUUUAUAUAUUUCUAUAUCUAUAUAUCAAUCUAUCAAUAUUUGUUACAACGGAUGCAAGGGGAUAUAAAUAGAGAAGUUUUUCCAACCUUCCUAGCUAAGAAAUCUUAUGAUUGGUGGAUUACAAGGAGAAGAAUGGAAAUUUAUACAAAAAUAUCCAAAAGAAAAGAUCUCGUGUGGAGUCGGCAGAAACAGGGGAAAAUUCGCACCACGCAAGGGGGUGUGCGAAUUUGGAAGGUGUUGUGCGAAAUUUUCGCACAAGCCUGGAGCAGUUGUCUUCCGAAGGCCAUAUCUUCCUCAUUUCAGCUCCAAAUCGUACACGGUUUGAAGCGUUGGAUUCUUGACUUCCAGAGCUUUGAAAUGGUAUAUAGCAUGUGAAAAAUGGACUUCGGGAAGUGCUCCAAAAGUGCGAAAGAAGACUGCAGCUGCUGUCCUCUGUUUUCCUCUUUGCUUCUUUUUGCUUCUCUUUGCUUCUCUUUGCUUUUCUCCUUUUGUUGGCUUGCUUUGGUGUAGCUAAAAGCUUGCUUUAACUUGUCCAAGUAGCUCCUCCAUCAUUUGGCAUGCUUGAAUUGAUUCAUAAGCUGAUAAAAACAUGUAAACUUGCCACAAAAUGGUUAAAACCAAUUACUAAGGACCUUAAUGAAUUAAUUGGGUUAAAUGAAUAUGAUUACUACUCAAAGGUGCUUAAAACCAUUAUAAUUAGGUCUACAAAAUAGCACUUUUUGGUAGUAAUCAAUCUCAUAAACGGGAAUGAACAUGCAAAUCAAUGGUGACCUACAAAAUCUCAACCAAAAUGGAAAUAUUCCCCAGUAUGGCAUCAGAUGUGUGGUAGAUCUGAAAACCAGAUGAUAUCAAAUCAUCCAUUAUCAAAUGUGCAAUCCUAGUCAUCUACAUCCGUAUCUGAAUCAGACCCACAUAUCAAAAAGGCAUGCCCUAGAAGAAAAAAGAUGAUGACAACCAAAUGUCGAAAAAUGUGGGUCUGAUUAGAUGGCUCCAAAGAGGCUCCACUGGGGGAUCACGAUAAGAUAACAAACAGGUCAUCAUCUCAACUUGUAUCUCGUGGGUGGGGAUGAUCAUGCGACUCCAUGAAGAUCUGUAAAUCUCAAUCGAAAUGGAAAUAGGCCCCAAUAUGGAAUCAGAUGUGGAAUAAGCCAAAAAUCGAACAACAUCAGAUUAUCCAUCAUCAAAUGUGUGAUCUUUGUCAUCCACGUCCACAGCUGAAUCAAACCCAAACAUCAAGGAAACGUCUCUCGAAAGAAGAAGCAUGACGAUAUCUAAAUGCUAAAAAAUGUGAGCCUAACUGAAUAGCCCAAGAGAGACUCCACCGGGGGAUCACAACAAGAUAACAAUAGACUAUCAACUCAUCAUGCGUCCCGUGAGUGGUGAGGAUCAUGUGACUCCAUGAAGAUCUACAAAUCUCAACCAAAAGGGAAAUAUGCCCCAGUAUGGCAUAAAUGUAUGGUAGAUCGGAAAAUCGAAUAACCUCAAAUCAUCCAUCAUCAAAUGUGUAAUCCCAGUCAUCCAAAUCCACAACUGAAUCGAGUCCGAACGUCAAAGAGGUGUCUCCCAAAAGAAGAAGCAUGAUGAUAUCCAAAUAUCAACCAAAUCUCAAAUAUCUAUCCAAGUAAGGGCUGUCAAAGACUACAUCUGAUCCCAUAGCCUCAGAGUGGUCUUAAGACACAGGACGUAAUAUAAGCUAGGGUGAUAAGGUAAUAGAAAUGAAGGGAAACUAUGCCCAAAUACCCAAUGAUAAAAAAACUCAUGCCCUCAUGUAUAAAAUGCAACAUCUAUAGAAAAUCUCGUGAACCAUGGACCUGAGGCUGCCCAAUGUGAAUAUAGUAUUAAUAAUGAAGUGAUAAAGCAAAUCAAACUGAUAAUGAGAUAUGCAAGAAUGAUGCAAAGAAAAUAUCAAACCUGGAAUAAGUCAAUGUAAGAAAAGAAUAAGGGAAGUGGAGUGAAUGGGAUGAAUCACAAGCAAUGACAAGGAUGAUAGCAAGACAAUGAAUAUACGAAUAAAAAGUGGUGAUCAACUCAAAUCAAACAUGGAGUGAAAGUCACAUCAAUAAUGAAUGUAAUGAUGGAAAUGACAAUGACUCAGAGUCCCUAGGAGAAGAUCACUCAUCUCACUCUCAAAUAGAUAUGACAAAGUGAAUACAAAGAAAAAGAGGAUCUCAGAAAGCUCACAUACGAACUCUUACCAACAAUCAUACUCGAUAAAGUGAUCCUUGCAUAUCAACAUACAUGCCCAACAAUGGAGAAUACUAUGCACAUACACACAUGUGCUUAUUUUUCUUUUCUUUUCAUUUUCAUUCUUCUUUUUUUUUCCAGUUUUGUUUUGUUUUUUUUUUUUUUUUUUUACAUAUAUACAAAUGUACAUACCUUGAACAUAAACAAAUGAACCCCCAAAUAUGAUAUCAAUAAUGGAUAGACACACUCUCAAAAACUCUCUCUGAUGAGACGACCUUCUUAAACUAAGGAUCUCUAGAUCGAUGUUCGUGAGAUAGACAGUGGAAAUGAUGUGACCAUCUUCCAUGUAAUGAACUAAGGAGGAUCACCACUCAGGGUGAAGAGAAUACGAAGCAAAACAAGCAGCAAAUAGAAUAAAGAAAAGAUAAAGAACACAACCAAUGAGAUAUAGUGGAAUGCCAUAGAGUGAUGGUAAGAAAAAUAAUGAGAGAAAGAUACACCUGUAGGUCCAAGACUCAUGAGACUCCCAAACAAUGCAUGCAUAUACUAAAGGGUUCUCAUCCCGAUGCAAAAACGUGAGCAAGAUGAUAAGAAAGAAAGGUUAUAAUGCACAUGCGAGACUCAAUGAGUUAGCAACGGUCUAUAUAUCAAAAAGGUGAAAUGGUAUAUGGCUAACUGAAAUGAUGGCCACCCAUCCUACAACCAUGGUCUCAAACAUAGUACCUCUUUAGCUGGUCCACGUUGGUCGGCUCUGAGAAUCGGUUUCCAUCUAGAUCCAUCAACCAUGCAGCGCCCUCUGGGAUCAACUCCCUAAUGAAGUAAGGUUCGCUCCAAUUGGGUCUGAACUUCCCUCUAGGAUCUCUAAUCAACCCCCUGAUGACCUUUAGAACCAAGUCACCUCUCUGUAGCAGUCUAGGCUUGACCCACUUUUUGAAUGCACGGGUCAUCUUCCUCUGAUAAGCACGAACAUUGUCUAUUGCCCUCAAUCUCCUCUCAUCUAGGAGAUUAAGCUCCUCAAAUCAAGCCUGAGCCCAAUCUGCCUUUGGAAUCUGCUGCUCCAAUGCUACUCUCAAUGAACCCAUCUCAAUCUCAAUUGGUAGCACUAUCUCCAUACCAUACACUAAGAAGUAGGGUGUGGGUCCUGUAGAGGUGCGAAAAGAAGUCCGAUAAGCCCACAAUGCGAAAUGAGACUUCUCUAACCAAUCCCGAGAAGUCUCAAUCAUCCUCUGUAAGAUUCUCUUAAUAUUCUUAUUCGCAGCCUCUAUCACUCUGUUAGUCUACGGCCUGUAUGCAGACGAUCUAUGAUGUUGGAUAUUGUAUCUGUGUAAUAAAGUGUCAUCAUCCGCUCUGAAAUGUUCUUCUCUAUUCGAAAUCAGCUCAUGAAGAACUUCAUAAUGACAUAUAAUGUGUGAUUUGUUGAAACUAGAAACUUCAGAUGAUGUCAAUCUCGCAUAUGAGGCAGCCUCCACCCACUUGGUGAAGUAAUCGAUGGCGACUAGGAGGAACUCGUGACCAUUGGAAGACUUCGGCGAAAUCUUUCCAAUAAUGUCUAUACCCCAUACUGAAAAUGGCCAUGAUGAAGUCAAUGCAUGUAACUCUGAAGGGGGUACGUGAAUGAGGUCCCCAUGAAUCUGGCACUCUGGAAAUCUCUGAACAAACUGGCAACAAUUUGUCUCCAUAGUCAACCAGAAAUACCCGAUCCUCAUGAUCUUACAGGCUAACAUAUGUCCUCCCAUAUGUGGUCUACAAACUCCAGCAUGAACCUCUCUCAUCACUCGAUCGACAAAGGCAUGGUCUAGGAAAAGUAGUAACAUCACAUCAACUGAUCGUCUGUAAAGUGUCUCCUCAUAUAUCACAAAUUGAGUGGUCAACUCCCUCAAUACUCUCUUAUCCUUGGUCGUGGCGGCCUCAGGAUAUGUACCAAGUCUUAGAAACUAGUAUAUGUCAUGGUACCAAGGCAACUCAUCAUCUAACUCUCCAUCGUCAAUCAAACAAUAAGCAUGAACAGAUCUUGACUUGAUCAAUAAAGGGCGAACAAUGGUAUCAGUAGGAAUAUCAAUCAAGGAAGCUAAAGUAGCUAAGGCAUCAGCGAACUGGUUCUACGCUCUAGGCAGAUGUGUGUAUCUCAAAUCAUCAAAUCUCCCAACCAGUAGCUCUAAGUAUGCAUGGUAAGGCCAAAGCUUCACAUCUCUAGUCUUCCACUCACCCUGAAUCUGUCUCAAUACCAGAUUGGAGUCACCAAACACCUUCAUCUGUCUAAUCUCGAGCUCAAGAGUUGUCUCUAAUCCCAAGAUGCAAGCCUCAUACUCAACAAUAUUGUUCGUGGCAGGAUGUCGAUCCGAGAAUGCCAAACGAACAUAUCUAGGAAUGUGGUCGCCAUGAGGGGAUAUCAACAAGACACUUAUCCCAUAUUCAGAAUGGUUAGUCGCACCAUCGAAGUAAAUGCGCCAACCUGACAGACUAGUCACAACAGCAACAUCCUUAUCUGGGAAAUCAUCAUCAAUAUCUCUACCAUCAGAAACCGGUAAUGAGGCUAAGUGAUCUGCAACAAUGCUCCCUCUGAUAGACUUCUAAGUGACAUAAUGAAUGUCAAACCCAUUCAGAAGUACCAACCAUCUCAUGAGGCGACCGACUAAAGUAGGCCUAUCAAACAAAUAUCUCAAGGGAUCUAAACGGGAUAUCAAGUGCACUGAAUACUUGGUCAUGUAAUGUCUCAGUCUCUGAGUAGCCCAAACCAAUGCAAAACAGUAAUACUCAAUCAUGACAUAUCUCGUCUCAUAAUCUAACAUUCUCUUACUCAAAUAAUAAAUAGCUUUCUCUUUGCCCGAAUCAUUGAGUUGAGCCAACAUACAACCCAAAGUUACGUUUGAAACUGACAAAUAUAGGAGUAAAGAACGGCCUAGUGUAGGAGGCACUAAGAUUGGAGGUGACAACAAGUACUCUCUAAUCCUCUCAAAUGCACAUUGGCACUUAUCAUCCCAAACAAUAGGUUGACUCUUCCUCAAGAGUCAAAAAAUGAGCUCACAGAUGUCAGUCAAUCAGGCAACGAAUCUGCUAAUGUACUGAAGUCUACCCAAGAAACCUCUGAUCUCUCUCUCAGUCCUCGGCGCAAGCAUGUCAAGGAUGGCUCUAGUCUUAUCUGGAUCUGCCUCUAUACCUCUCUCACUGACCAUGUAUCCUAGUAGCUUCCCAUAAGCCACUCCAAAAAUGCACUUCUUGGGAUUUAGUCUCAAUAUGAACUGCCCGAUCCUCUCAAAGAAUCUCUCUAAGGCUGCUAGGUGAUCUACUCUAUCUUAGGACUUCAUUAUCAUCUACAUAAACCUUGACAUCCCGAUGCAUCAUGUCAUGGAAUAGAGUAGUUGCUACUCUCUGAUAAGUAGCUCCUGCAUUCUUCAAACCAAACGGCAUCACUCUAUAGCAGUAAGUGCCCCACUCAAUAAUGAAUGACGUCUUCUCCAUGUCCUCUAGAGCCAAUAGGAUCUAACUAUACCCGAAAAAUUCAUCCAUAAAGGACAACAUUGAAUGACUUGUUGUACUAUCAACCAGCAUGUCAAAUUGUGGGAGAGGGAAAUCAUUUUCUGGACUGGCCUUAUUGAAAUCUCGAAAAUCAACACAAACUCUCACCUUGUCGUCCUUCUUGGGAAUAGGGACGACAAUGGCCAGCCACUCAGGAUACUCGAACACUGAUAAAAAUCCCACACUAAGAUGCUUCUGAAUCUCUUCUUUCACCUGCAAACUCCAGGGAUGAUGCAAUCGUCUCAACUUCUGCUUAACCGGUCUGGCAUGGAGUAGAAGUGGUAAACGAUGUUGGACGAUGGAUGGGUCAAGGCCUGGUAUGUCCUCAUAGGACCAUGCAAAAACAUCCAAAUACGAUCUGAGCAACCAGGCGAGGCCAUCCCUCUCAUCUGUAGACAAAUCCAAUCCAAUCCUCAACUCCCUCGGCCGGUCUAUUGUACCAAAAUCAACAAUCUCGGCAUCUCCUCUGGCAGGUGAAACUCUCUGAUCAUCAGGACUCGAAUCAAAAAUAGAAGAAGAGUCCUAAUCUAAAUCGUGUUGUACAGUCUCAUCAUCUAUAUCAAAUAUCUGUGAUGUGGGUGAAAAUGGUGUAGAUAAAGUGAUAUCACAAGAGACGGGCAGAUACUCGUAAAUGCUCAAAUCCAUAAAUGAAGAGUCAUGAACAUCGUCAAAAUGAAAGACAAAUCCGGAUAAAACAUCAAAUGAAAGAGGUGGGUCCAAAAAGUCUGACGCUUCCUCAACUGGGCCAACUGGGUCAUCAAACAAAUCAUCAACAAGUAUAACAUCAUCUGAAAACUCUGAAGCUGGAGUAGUCUGGACUUCCUUGACAACUUUGAUGGCGAACAACCCAAAGAGAUCGAAUGGCGAAGCAAGCUCAGGUUGAACUAUCCCAUCAAUCUGGCUCAUGCUCAUCGCGAGCAUCUCAUCAAUGUACUCCUCACAUGGAACAGUUCCAUCCACUAUGUCUUCAAUCUCGACAAAUGUCCCGUGCUCAUUGACCUCAUCCGAAAAAUAGAGUGUCAUAAGGCUCACACAAUCUAGAGAUGAUGGGGCAGCCAACACAGAUGUCGAAGUGCCAAGAGCUCCAUCACUCAACUGUAGCUAAUGGACAAGACGUUGAAGCUCAACCUCCUGAACAAUGCUGAGUCCCCCAAUGAUCCCAUCCGAGUGUGAUUUUAGCUCUAACGCCCUAACAAAGUAGUCUGCCAAGCUCAUGGUGUAUGAGUGAACAAGAUAAUCAAAAAGUGUGUGAGUCAGUCGGGCCCUCACCCUCUCCUUACGCCAUCGCGCCAUAUAUUGAUAAUCGGCCUUAGUAGGGAUGAACCCAAGUCCGAACAGUACAUCGUGAUCUAGGAUAGCCAUAAACUCACUGGGUUCAUGAUGAUGUCACCCCAACCCCAUGCUAGUUAAAUAAGACAUGCUCUUCAUCAUGUCAAGUACCACUAUGCUGCCAUGCUGGUCAAACAACAUAGCCACGAAGUCUCGGCAAAAAUCCUCCAUCUCUAGGGUCUGCACCUCAUCGAAUGUGAACCCAGUCAAAAAUAGAUCAUCAUCACUAUGACUGAUCUAAAGUACUGGCUCAUAAGAAAUAAACAUAUCUCCCACAGACUGCACUGUGAUGACCUGGCCAUCGUGAAUGAACUUCACCUUCUGAUGAAGGAAAGAAAGAAUAGCUCCAGCUCUGUGAAUCCAAGGUCGGCCCAAUAGUAGGUUAAAGGAUGUAAGAAUCCUCAAAACCUGGAACAAAGUGGGAAAAGUGGUCGGACCUAUCAACAGCUCAAUCUCCGAAGUGCCCAUAACCUUCCUACUAGUGCUAUCAUAUGCUAAGAUUGUCUAAGUGGAGGGACCAAAAUUCAAAGGGUGCAUAGCUGACGGCGAUGGCAGUAGCUAGAGGGCAGACAUUUAGGGUCGAGCCAUUGUCCAAAAGGACAAAUGGGACUCGGUGACCUAAACAACUGACUGAGAUAUAUAUUGGACUUGUAUGGUCCGGACCAUCGGGUGGCAAGUCAUCAUCAGAUAAUACUAUGCAAUUGGCUCUACCAACCGUCACCAUGUCAAUCAAUCCCUCCGGGGUGGUGGUAGUCUCAACUCUGAUCUGACUCAAGGCUCGAAUCAAUGCGUCUCUAUGAGUGUUAGAAGAUAACAACAAGCUCCAAAUAGAAAUACGAGCCUAGGUGCUUUGUAACUGCCUCAAAAUCUCAUCAUCUUCUCUCUUGACCUCCUCAUGAGCGGACAUCCCCUCCAAGGGUCUAGCGGUUGCGGGUAGUUGUUGUCGUACCACUCUACCCCCGCAAAUAACAUAUUGUACAUCGGUUAGACAUCAUCAAUAUAUGGAGUCUGAACCUCAUCAACACAAGAAAUCAAAACAAACGGCAUUUGAACACUAUAAUGUGGGAAAGUCAAUGGCUUGACAAUGGUCGUCUGUACUGAUGCCGCCUUAGGGACCAGUCUGAAUGGUGUGGACAUCUGAGGGCCCAAAGUCACUCUGCCUAUCUCAAAAAUCUCGUAUGAUACUAUGGGCUCUAGAUCUGACUAAUCCUAGCUCAGCAUGUGGAUGUGAUCGUCAAGCUCAACGAAGUCAAUGGAGUGUAUGUCAUUGGCCAGAGGGGAAGCCGCGUGUGUAGUGUGAGCCGGUAAUAGGUUUGUGGUUACACUUGGCUUACCCAAGUGAACCAAACCCUAAUCAAUUAGAUCCUGGAUAGUAUGUCUCAAAGUAGUACAACAAUCAAUCUCAUGUCCUGGUUCCUAAUGAUGUGCAUAGUGUAGAUCCAUCCUGAACUGAAGCGGGACAGGCUGAGGUAAUGGUCUAAGAGUGAGAGCUAUCCACAAUCCGACCUCUUUGAGUUUCCGAAGAGCCUGGCUCAACGGCAUACCAACUGUGAAAACUGUCUUUGGGUCCUCAAAGCAAAAGGUGCAAAGGUCUACAGAACUCUAGGUCUAGGAUAGGAUGUUGUAGGUUUUGCGACAAACUGUGCUACAUAGCAUGGCUAUCCUGUGGCAGAAUAUGAAACAGGAGGCCUCUUUAUGCCCUGUGCGGCGUGAUAAGGUAGUGCUAAUGCAAGAGGCAUGCAGACCUGAUCAUAUGACUGAUGAGAUGUCUGUGGCCUGUACUACACACGAGGCGAUGGUGGGUAAUAGAGUGUAGAAGUCUGCACAACUGUCUGAUAGCAUCUAAGAGGUCUCAAACCUACUGAAUUGAUAGCAACCACAUAUCCCGGUCUCUGUCCUCCUAAAGGCUUCUUCCCCUUCAAAUCAGAAGGAAAAGACUCGAGUCAUAACCCUCCAGCUAUGCCCUCCUCUAUACCAUAGAAGGCCUGUACCAAAGAUUCAAAAUCCGUAUGAGGAAAACCCAUCAAGUAUCAAGCAAAUCGAGGUUGUAAGCUCCUCAUAAUCAUGUUGAUCUAAUCAUCUCAAAUGGUCUAUCAAUAACAUGUGAAAUCUUCUCCCUCCAGCGGGAGAUAAAUGAAGUGACCGACUCCUCUGGCCUCUGUCUCAAUGUCUCUAACUCUCUCCUCGAGACGUCAAUGACAGUAUUAAAUGCGAACUGUCUUAAAAACUCCUGGGUCAAAUCAUUCCAAGUCCGGCAGCGUGAUACAUCCUAUGAAACAAACCAUCGUUGUGUCGCACCACUUAGAGACAUAGGGAAAAGCAUAAUCAUCUGGGCCUCAUCCAGUCCAUAGGCCCUCAUGAUUGUACUAUAAAGCCUCAAAUGGAUGCAAAGAUAGCCAAUGCUCGUGUAUCUCUCAAUCUCGAGCAUCCUAAACUUGGCCGGUAGACUGGCCAUUGGUGCUCCAUCAAAAUCCUCCCAAGUAACAACUCUAUCCGAAGUCCUCAACUGCUUCAACCUCUACUCAAGCCUAUCCAUGCGAGCAUGUGGGUCCUCUGAGGUCGGGAUAGGCACGGUGACAGAAGGUGAGGCAACCUCGGUCCGACUAUGCAGAGUGAAAGGUAUAGCCUAUGGUGCUGACUGACUGGGUAGAAAGGGUGGUGGCAUGGUAGGGUCAUACUGGACGUCAUCUUGAGGUGAGGCCUGUUGGGUUUGUUGUCCAUCUAUCCUCCGGCUGAAUCAAAGUCAUGGUCGUAGCAAACUAGUCAACAGUAACUAUCUGUGAAUCCAUAUCUCUCUGAUCUGAUCUCGGGUCUGACUAGUCUGAUACUCUGAUCAACCUACCCCCAAGUCUGGUCCAGGAAGCCGAACCUAAACCGAACGUAUCAAUACUCUUACAAUAGUGGAAACACUAGAUAAGAUAUGGGGUAAGGAAAACUCCACCAAGAAUGUCUACCAAAUAUGCCAAAAGGUAACCCGAAAGUAAUCAAACUAAUAUCCAAUCCUGAGCAUAUGUAUAAAAGACUACUACGGAGAUAACUAAACCUAUCACUAUUGAACCGGCUCUGAAGGCUCACAGAUGCACCCACGUGUUAGGAAAGGAAAUCCUGAUUGAAAUAUCUAAGGCUCAACCUAUAAGAUCAACGUGGCUCUAAAAAGAAGAGGGGUGGACUUUAAAGAAUCCCUAGUAGAAGCGAUCAUACCCUUCGACGGUACGCAACCCUCUGCACGUCUCCAAAGAGACAAGGCGCUUCCAUGCAAGGUGGUCAUCACCUCCACACAUGCACCACCUAUUGUCCUAGGGGGUUUCCUACGGUGAAAUCUCUUAAAACUCUCAACACUUGGUGGUCGACUAGAGUGCACAGUGAGCGGUGUGGGUUCAUCUGAAAACCCUAUGAAGCUAAAGUAGAAGAUGAAACAUACUGGUCACACAAAUAUCCAUGAAACCUAGCUGGGGCUAUACAUGUCUUUAAUGAUCGGACUCCAAUCAGCGUCAAUGUGUCGGUCUCCUCCAGAAUGCUUCCAAACAUCGGUAUAGCCUGUUACUAGACCCUACUCCUAACCUCUAGCUUAGUCGGAGAAACAAGCACACACAAGGCCUCACACUUGCAAAAAUAAGAGCUGAAAUAAAGGAAAUGACCGAAACCAAAGGGUUAGAGGUAAGGGGAUAGAUGCACAACCCACACAGACAAGCGACAUGCAAUCAUGUAGGAGAAGAGUGAUCAUGCAACAGGCAUUCAAGCAAAGUACAGAUAUAUCACUCAUGUCCAUAUACAAGUUGUGACAAUCAAGAUGAAUAGUGACAAAGACAACAUGCUCAAAGAUGAUCAAGAUAAUACACAAACAAGAGAAACAAUGGGUUUAUACAUGUGAGGUGAGCAGAACAAUCAUGGCAAAAUCAAAGUUGUUACGCUAAGACAGGCAAGAUAAUCAAUCAACACAAAUCAACAUGUCAAUGUCCCAAACAAAUAUAGCAAUGAAGUACAAAAAAAUCACUACAUCAAAAACCUCAAUCAAGAUAAUCAAUCAACAUGUCAAUGUCGCAAAUGAAUACAAUAACCAGGCAUGCACCAAUGACGUCAAGAGCUCUCAAUGUGCAAUCAAGAUAUAGGUACCCAUUGAUCGACCAAUCAAACGUCACAUUUGCUCCAUCUUAAGUUCAAGCUUAACCCUCUAGUACAUGGGGUCUCCCAAGCGGAGCCGCCAUUUUGUGGACCCCGCAUUUCCCUCGAUGCGUUCCCACUCAAUGGCGAAACUCGUUUUUUUAUUUAUUUGUGAAAAAUUAUAAUUUUUAGAAAAAAAACUUGGAGUUACCACUUAUUUUUGUUUUAUUUUUUUAAGGGAAAAACAAAAUAAGAAAUGAAAACCCUUAGUGUGACUCCUAAAGGAAAAAAAACAGGUCUUCAAAAAACCAAGUCUGGGUCCAGGGAUCAGGUUACUUAUUGGGAAGGUACGGUAGUUAGCCGUGGCACCCCUCUAAGCCCGUAUACAUACGGUCUCUACUAAAUAAGAUGAAGCAAGUGUGACAAUUGAUAAUGAACGGAUACCAAUGAAAUGAUCAAAUAAUAAAACGAAUCAUGUAUAAGAAUAAGCAAAAUGGGAUUGAGAUCAUACCAUAGUAGCAAGUAAUAGUGCGCUAUCAUGGAAACAAGGUUAACUCAAGUAUAAAAUUAUCACAUGCAUAUCAAAGAGCAAGACAAAGAUCAGCCAAUAUUCAUUACGUAGAACAAUUGACAAUCAGAGGAGAAAACUCAUAAGUGGGACCCCCACCAAAGCUCAAUUUAUCUUGCAUGAAUUAGUCUCACAAAUUCCAUUAUUUUAUAAUCAUGAAAAAUUCAUUCUUGCUUAUUUAAAAAUCAAGAGAAACAGAAAAAUUAUUUUAAAAUCAAAUAAAAAUUUAUGAAAAUGCUUCCCUAAAAGAAAAAGGCAACAGGUUUAUUAAAAAUAGGAUUUUUGGUGACCCUGAACCUUAAAGGAAAAAUGAAGAGUGGUAGAAUUAAAGAAAUAUUUGAAAACUGGAAUGAAAUCAAAAUUAUUUGAAAGAAAACUAAAGUUUUGAAAUUUAUUCAAAAAUUGAAAGCCCGAAAAUUGCUUGAAAAUUGGCGUUUUGAAAAUUAAAUUUAAGAAUUGGAAUUUUGGAAAUUAAAUUUGAAAGAAAUUGGAAUUUUGAAAAUUAUUUGAGAAUUAGAGUUUUGAAAAUUAAAUUAAGGAAUUGAAACUUUGGAAAUUAAAUUUGAAAGAAAUUAGCAAAUUAUUUGAAAAUUGAAACUAUGAAAAUUAAAUUAUGAAAAUUGGAAUUUUGGAAAUUAUUUGAAGAUGAAAUUUUUAAAAUAAAUAUAAUAAUAAUAAUAAUAAUAAUAAUAAUAAUAAUAAAUGAAUAAAUAAAUAAAUGUGAAAAUUGGAAUUUUGGAAAUUGGAAAUUAAAUUCGGAAAUUGGAAAAUUGGAAUUUCUGAAAUUGGGAAUUAAAUUUGGAAAUCGGAAUUUUGAAGAAUUAUUUAAAGAUGGAAUUUUAAAAAUAAAUAAAAUAAUAAUAAUAACGAAAAUAAUAAUGAUUAAAUAAAUAAAUGUGAAAAUUGGAAUUUUGGAAAUAAAAUUUGGAUAUCGGAAUUUUGAAGAAUUAUUUAAAGAUGGAAUUUAAAAUAAUAAUAAUAAUAAAUAAAAUAAUAACGAAAACAAAAAUGAUUAAAUAAAUAAAUGUGAAAAUUGGAAUUUUGGAAAUUGGAAUUUAAAUUUAGAAAUCAGAAUUUUGAAGAAUUAUUUAAAGAUGGAAUUUUUAAAAAUAAAUGAAUAAAUAAAGCAAUAAUAAUAAUAACAAAAAUAAUAAUGAUUAAAUAAAUAAAUGUGAAAUUUGGAAUUUUGGAAAUUGGAAAUUAAAUUUGGAAAUCGGAAUUUUGAAGAAUUAUUUAAAGAUGGAAUUUUUAAAAAUAAAUAAAUAAAUAAAAUAAAAUAAAAUAAUAAUAACGAAAAUAAUAGUGAUUAAAUAAAUAAAUGUGAAAAUUGGAAUUUUGGAAAUUGGAAAUUAAAUUUGGAAAUCGAAAUUUUGAAGAAUUAUUUAAAGAUGGAAUUUUUAAAAAUAAAUAAAUAAAUAAAACAAUGAUAAUAAUAACGAAAAUAAUAAUGAUUAAAUAAAUAAAUGUGAAAAUUGGAUUUUUGGAAAUUGGAAAUUAAAUUUGGAAAUCGGAAUUUUGAAGAAUUAUUUAAAGAUGGAAUUUUUAAAAAUAAAUGAAUAAAUAAAUAAAACAAUAAUAAUAAUAAUAAUAAUAAUAACGAAAAUAAUAAUGAUUAAAUGGAUAAAUGUGAAAAUUGAAAUUUUGGAAAUUGAAAAUUAAAUUCGGAAAUUCGAAUUUUGAAGAAUUAUUUAAAAAUCGAAGUUUUAAAAAUUAAAUUUGAGAAUCAGAAUUUCGAAAAAUCAUUUGAGAACAGAAUUUUUAGCGAUCAUUUGAAAAUAGAAGUUUUGAAAAUUAAAGAUUUGGAAAAUUAUUUAAAAAAUGGUAUUUUUAGGAAUCAAAUUUGAAAAUUGGAAUAGAAAUGAGAUUAUUCGAGAAACUAGGAUUUUAAGAAUCAUUUAAAAUGAAUUUACGGAAAUCAAGCUUUGACAUGUGAGAAAAAUGAGAAACAAAAAAAAAAAAAAAAAAACCAUGAGGCCACAACUGGACCUAUGCCACUGCCACUUAUUUAUUCAGAGAACUUAAAGUGCCCCUACCACUUAUGAAAAUCCUCAUACCAUUGACUUGUCAUUCAUCAUUUUUUAAAACCUUUUCAUCUUUGUUUUUCCCCACAUUCAACUUAUCCAUUCUAAAAAAAAAAAAAAAAUUUGAACUAAAGUUCCCAAGUCUGCAGCUCCAUGGUUGUCAUAAACACCAAAAAAAACCAAGUGGAAGCAUCCAAAUUAGGGUAUGCAGCAUGAGUGUUUCCAUGGUUGCGCGCUAUCCUGCACCAACUCCACAUACAUCUAUCACUUUCACAAAAUCAUCUUGGAGCCGCCAAAAUCAAAGCAAGUGCCAAGUCUGCCACACCCUCCGCUAGCACAAGUAUCCUCUAUCCGAGCCACUUCUCCACGCACCACCCACAAGAACCGAACGCCACUUUGCUACAACGCAACUGAUAUUUCAUCCAUUUAGGCACCUGAAAACUGAAGAAAAACUUCCCAAAGAGAUAUACAAAACCUAAGCAAGACGUUGAGAGUCUAGCCAUUCUAACCAGCCACUAUUCUUGUUCUGGUAGGAAGGUAUAGGCACUGGGUGUGAAGAAGAAGAAGAGGUCGGAGGUGGGGUGACGGGUUUGAAAGGGUGCUGGAAAUGUAGUGAGUAAGGUGGGCUCAAUGGGCAUGAAGAGGUGGAGAUAUGGUUAUGGUGGUGGAGAAGUAAGGAUGACCACGCGCAUAGAGAUUUAUGUAAGUGGGAAAUGACGGAAAUGAGUUGGAGGUAGUUUAAAUGGUGACAGCUUUGAUAGAUGAGUCAUAUGGGUAUGUUGGAUGGAAAAGUAAAAAUGGCCAUGCACAUGGUGCUUCCUGUACGUGGGAAGACUGAAAACAAAUGGGUGGGGAAUGAAUGGUAGUAUGGGUAAUGGAAUAUGGUGAGUAUGAUGAAAUAAAGACAUUGAAGGUGGUGAACAAAUGGGAAAUGAACAGUGGUGUGGAUGUGAGGUAAGCACUUUGAAUUCUCAUUCCUUGUUAUAAGGCUCCAACAUGCGCAUAAGCUAGCAGAAUGCUAACCCAAAAAUGAUACCCAACACUCCAAAAAUACCAGAAAACAGAAGAGAAAAUGAAGAAAAACAAGGCAGGUACAAGAGAAGAUUACACUGUUAAAUCCAAUUCCAUUUCAUGAAGAUCAAUGGGCAAAAUAUGGGUGGAAUCAAAAAGAAGUAAGAACACGAUCUUUGAAGAUCAAAUUCAGUGAUGGGCCAAAACAUCAGAUACUUACCAAAGAAAUCAAAAACACCGAAAAUGGAAGCGAAACAGAACAUGCAUAUAUACAAUCAGAUUCAACAAGACAACCCUAUGGCCCUUCAAUGUCCACAGCAAACAACAAACAACAUCCAAAGACCAGUAGAAAAGAUAGAAACAAAAGCAUGAAAAUAGAAAAGAACCCGAAACAUACGUCAAUCAUACCUGAAAUAACUCCUCUCUGUUUUGCUUCUGUAAAGGUUCUCUCCUUUUCCUCAAGUUGCAGAACACGCUCCUUUAUAACCCACAACAAACACAUUCUCUUCCUUGUAACCCCUCAAACUCUAUAACUAUGCCAACUGCUCUGUAACCAGCCCAGAAAAAAUAUCUCCUCCCCAAAACGCCUCUGCUCCCGUUGUGUUUCCGUCCCAUCUAGCCGCCCAAAAAAAAAAAAAAAAAGCUCACCCAUCAACUGCUAUGGCCGCCCAAAAAUAGCUCACCCAUCAGUCGUAUUCCUUCACCUUCAAUCCUCUUUGGCUGCCCAAGAAUGACUCCUUCUCGAGGUGGCCUGGAAAGAUAAAAAAAAUAAAGUCCAAAAAAAACCCUUCUAUCCCAAGGGGUCUACAAUAACAUUCCAAGACAAUACAUGAGGAACUUUAUUCACAUUCACAUUAGUAUGAGUGAUGAAUUAUAUGAGGGUGCAUAAAAUCAAGGGAGAAUUGUGUUUUCAACCCAACUAGGUUGGGUAAUUGAGGUAAGGUCCUCCUAUCACUCAUAAUUAAAUCCAAAACCCAAUAAAAUAGUAGAAAUUGAAAGGAAGGAUAUUGUCUUUAAAAAAUCCCUAAAAUACCCUUGACUAUUAAAUGUAAAAAACUAACCAAUCACCUCACCUUUCUCAUUCUCUCUUUGACUCUUUUUCCCUUCUCUCACCUUGAAUCAUUUUUCUUCAUCAAAUUGAAUAUGAAAUAUGGUUAAAAAUUAUUAUUGCCAAAUGCAUUUUUGAAAUGAAUAACUUUUAAAUACCUCAUCAAAUAUUAUUCUUUUUUCCAACUUACAUAAUAUAUAAUAAAUAUUUUUUAAAUAUGUUGAAAACUUACAUAAUAUAUAUAAUAAAUAUUAUUCUUUAUUUCAAACGUAUAUUAUUUCUCAUAUAUAUUAAAUAAUUUUUAAACACCUCAUAAAAUAUUAGUAUUAUUUGUUUGUUCUAACUUGUAAAUUAUAUAUCAUCAAUUUUUUUUUUUCAAAUUUAUAGAACAUAUAAUAAAUACUUUUUAAAUACCUCAUAAAAUAUUAUUAAUUUUUUUUCUAACUUGCAAAGUAGACACAUGGUGUUUAUUAUUUCUCAUAUUAUUUUGAAAAUAAUGUAAACACUCACAUGCAUAUAUAUAUAUAUAUAUAUAUAUAUAUAUAUAUAUAUAUAUAUAUAUAUUAAUCAAGAAGACAAUAUUUAUAAGACUAAUUUACCAACCUUCCAAUAAUUUUGAAAGUGUAAAUAGGGUAAUUGGCCAAAUUAAAGUCUUCAAAUUAUUCAAAAUUUCUCCAUUCCAAAAUUAUCUAAUUGUUCCUCACACUAAUCCUAAAUAUUUUUUUAAUAAAGAUUUAAAUAUUUAAAACCAUUAAAAUAUAUAUUUUCUUAUUAAAGUAAUUUUUUUUUCAAAGUAAUAAGAUAAAAAUCAUGAAAUCUUCAAAACUAUAAUUACAACAAAUAUUUUAAAUUUUAAAACUAAUUUCAUAAUUUAAAUUAAUGAUUUUAAAAAAUAAAAAUGUUAUAAAAAUAAUUUUUUUUAUUUUUAAUUCCAUUUAAAUAUGAUUUUUUUUGUCUCUAUUGAUAACAAUGAAAUUAUGUUUAUAAAGGCAAAAUAGUAAAUAUAUAUAUUUCAUUUGGUUUACUUAUAAUGAACAAUUCAAACAUGAUUGAUUUUAAUUUUAUUUCCUAUGUGUUAAUUUUUGUAGGGAAUGUCUUAAUGGCAUAGUUUGGUAAAAAAAGAAAAAAAAAAUAUCAAUAAUCGUCUUAAUGUCAAACUCAAGUUGUUUAAAAAUCAUACAAAACCUAUUAGGAGCCUUGUACACCCUUGUACACUUGACACAUUUUCCUUGUACAGUUAGUGUAAUACCAUUGUACAAUGACACAAAUUUCAUAUCUUUCCUAAGUUAUAUGUCCAUGUAGAUAUAUUAAUUAUAUUUUCAAUGAUUUGGUUGAGAAAAUGAUGAAUGACUUAGGGUCAAUUUUUUUCCCCAAAUAUCAUUAUUGGGGAAAAUAUUGGAAUUUUCAUGUGAGAGUUAAAUAAAGUGUAUGACAUAGGUGUACAAUCCUUGGGUAACAAGGAAAAUAAAAAAGUGGUUUAGAAUCAAUUAAAAUCAUUUACAAAGGAUAAUCUUGUACACCUUUGUACAAUUAGUACAUUUUCCUUGUACAAUUAGUGUAAUACCCUUAUACAAUAACACAAAUUUCAUAUCCCUUCUAAGUUAUGUGUCCACGUAGGAGUGUUUAACCAUAUUUCUAAUGGUUUAGUUGAGAAGAUGGUGGAUGACUUAAGGUCAAAAAAAAUUUCCCCAUAUAUCAUUAUUGGGGAAAGUAUUGAAAUUUCCAUGUGGGAAUUAAAUAAAGUGCAUGACAUAUGUGUACAAUUCGCAAGUGAUAAAAAAAUAAAAGAAUGACUCAUAAUCGAUUGUAAUAUUUCACAAAGGAUAGCCUUAUACACUUAGUACAUUUUCCUUGUACAAUUAAUGUAAUACAAUUGUACAGUGGCGCAAUAAAUGAUUUUUUUUAUUUUCAUAUAAAAAAUAGUACUAAACAAGGUUUUCAAUUUUCAUUUUUAAAAAUAGUUUUCAUUUUUUAAUUAAACGUAUUUUCAAAAAGAGACAAUAUAGAAAAUAAAAAUUAUUUUUAAAAAUAAAAACUGAAAAAUAUUUUAAAACCAAACUCAAAUAGAAUCUAUAUAAUUUUUAACUACUUGUUUUCAUUUAAAAUAAUAUACCUUUCAACCCUUUUAUAUAAGAAAAAUUCAAUCUCUACUAUGUAUUGAUAUAAUCCACUUCUAAAAUUAGGUCAUAUGAAAACAUUUUAAUUGAGUACUUAAAAUAAAAACUCUUCAUCCAUCCUCUUUCUUUCUUUUUCUUUUUCUUAUUUUAAUCAUUAAAAAAAUUCCUUAGUAAACAAAUUUGUAACAUUUCAUGUAACUUAUUAAUAAAAGUCAUGUUCAAAAAGUUAUUAAAAUAAAUAAGGAAGAAGAUUAAAAAAAAUUAAACCUUUUAUUUUAUAAUAGUAAAAAAAAACUUUAAAAUAUUUUUUUAGUAUAAAAGAAAUUAAAAUAGCGAAUAUAUUUAUUUUAAACAAUGUUUUAAUCAUUAAAUUAUUUACUUCUAAAAUGUAAAAGAUAAAAAUAAAUGUAAAAGAUAAUUUUUAUUAUUUAAAUUAAUAUUUUUUUAGAAAGUAUUUUCUAAAAUAGUCUUUGAAUCAUUAAUAUAAUUUUUGUUUAUUUAUAAUUUAAAAAUGAAAAAUAAUAUUGAUUUUUCAAUUAUUUAUAAAAGAGUUUCAACAAAUAAUAAAAAAUUUAAAAAUUGUUAAAGAAGAAAUAAUAGUAACAUAUGAAGAGUGGUAGAAUAAAGACAAAAAUAAGUCAAAUUUGUAUUUUUUUCGAUUACCAUCUCAUAUCCUUAUAAUCAAUUAUGGAUAAUUGGAGGACUUUACCUUAAUUAUCAAGCCUAUAUGGAUUGAAAACACAAUUUUUCCUAUAAUCAAAAAAAAUAAACAACCCACCCUAAAUCUAUACGUUGGCCUGUCAAAAAAGUCAAGCACAACUACUCUUGUCCCAUGCAUUUAACAGUCAAUAAAAAGAGCCCAAAGUCAAUAAAGAGGCUAUAGCCUACGCCAUGAAGCAAGGGGGAAUCAUCUCCUAACAAUCUGGUAAACUUAUAACUAAAAUAAUCAAAAACAGAGAAGUGUUAAUCACUGCAACUUCAUUGGACUUGAAUUAAAAAAUGUCAACCCAAAAAUAUUAGGGUUACUGAGAAGUUUAUUCUUUUAUGAGCAUAGAUUGAAAUAUCGGAUUUUAAGGAUAUAUUGAAAAAUAUUUCUCAAAAUUACCAUCAAACGUAUUUUAAAUCUGUUUAGAAUGUUUUUAAAAAACAUUUUUAGUAUUCAAAUAAAAACACUUAAAAUGAAAACAUUUCCAAUAUGAAAGAUGCGUGCUUCUACUGGCGGGGGUCUGUCUUGUUUUUACUGAUUUUGGAUAGGGAAAGCCCAUGCGGGCAUGCUUGCAACAGUAAUAAUGUUCUAUUAAGCAAGUGAUUAUUUUGAUGGGCAGCUUGGAUGAAGGCGGCCCAUGACCAAAUAUCUGAAGGUGAGAACCAGCUUCUCCAAUUUGAUUGUACUCAUCCCCUAGAGUCAUAUAUUUCUACUCAGAUUCCCCAUCUAGAAAGUAGAAACAUUAAUUAAUUAAUUAAUUAAUAGUCUAUAAGGGUCAUCCUCAUCUAGAAGAGCAUAUCUGUAAGUCCUUCAUAGUGGAGUUUACUUUGAGUCAAUUGGUGAUGAUCAAAUAUUAGAAUCAUAUACCAAUAGUCACUUUUAGUUAUGUGAUGACCAAGUCCCCCACCCCCAACUUUCUCCCAGUGGGCCACAUUGAAUGGCCUAUAAAAUACAGCACCAUGCCACUUCAUAAUAAUAUAAUUAACUAACUUUAAUAUGUAACAACGCUAGCAUUUUAAGAAUCUAUUGACAGGGUCACCCAUGCAUAGAUCACCUAGCUAGUGAACAAGUUCUUUUUCAUUGAUGAAAUAUGAAACAAGAUAUCAUAUUCAAUCAUGAAUUGAGCUCAUCAUUUUGCCUUUCAUGUCCCAACAUAUAUGUUCGUGUAAAUUAAUUUAUUUUUAGAACCUCAAGUCAAUCAAAUCUAAGGAUGACAUGAGCGGUGUUAAAUUAGGAAUGGCAAUAAGACAGGUUUAAGAUGAAUUGUUAUACUCCAGCUCGUUCUUAUAAAGUAAUUUUCAUAAGAAAAUUAAAUGGGAUGAGGUGUGGGUAUGGAAAUUUUUCAUAUUUAUCUCAUUUAAUUUUUAAAAAAUGGGAAAAUAAAAAAAUUUCAAUUAAAUUAUUUUUUAAAAUUUAUAUAUAUAGAGUAAUGUCCAAACCUAUCUUGAAUUGAAAAAAAAAAAAUCUUAAACUUGUUCCUAAUUCAUUAUUUUAAUUUCAAACUUGCUUCAUUAGUAACAAGAAUCUCCAUCAUUCAAUUGGCUCAUAACAUUAAUCUUUGUAAAAUAAAGAGAAAAGCUUCCACAAUAGUGUACCCCCUUAUAUACUCAUCUAUCUUCUCAUGAAUUGGAUUCGAAUCAAUAAGUUAUUUGCCUUCUAGUAGAUCGUGAGUGGGUCUAUGAAUAUUACCCAAAUAUAUAUAUAUAUAUAUAUAUAUAUAUAUAUAUAUAUAUAUAUAUAUAUAUAUUCUUCUAGUUCAAAGUUAUCAAUACAUAGAAUUAGAGCAAUUGAAUUUUUAAUUUCAAGAAUAUAAACUUUUAGGAAGUGUUUAAUAAAAUUUAAUACUUAUUACUUAAUAACUUAAUUUGAUUUUAAGUUAAAUUAUACUAUUAACUUAAAACUUAUUAUUUCAUUCUUGUUUUAAAUAUUAAGGUUGUUUAAUAAAAUUAACUUAAAAUAUAUUUAUCCUUAUAAAUUAUAAUUAGGAUAAAAAAAUUGAGCGACGAUGAAGGUCGUGGAGUAGUAAAGGAAAUCAUGGGAGUAACUAAAACAAAUAAAGGUAAAAAAGUAAAAUGAAAAUAUGGAUUUAAGAAUAAAUUAAUUAUUUUUAUUUAUUAUUUAAAAUGUUUUUUACUGUAGACAAGUCAAACCAGUCAUCUUACUUCGGAGAUCCUUCCUCCUGUCCUUCGAGAAAGCUAACGGAAAUUGCCAAACAACUACUUUGUUGUAUUGUUUGUAACUUAAAUCCUGAAGUAUCAUUUGGCCCAAGCCUUGUUCUUAAUUCCUGAUUUCUAGCUAUAAAUAACUAUACCUCUUUACACACCAGAGAAUCAGAGAACAUAGACGUGUUGUAUAGAGUUUUAAUCUUUUUUUGAGCUGCCUCCUUGAAGGUUGAAGACGACAAUGGAAAUGAAGAUUGAUAUCCUUUCAACACAGCCCAUCAAGCCAUCUUCUCCAACUCCAAAUCAUCUCAGAAGCUUCAAAAUCUCGCUAUUGGAUCAACUUGCUCCUCCCUUUUAUGUCCCUGUUAUCCUACUCUUCUCUGCUGAUGAUUUCGACUGUGAAGCUGUUGAUCACGUCACCAUAUGUGAUCUGCUGAAGAGGUCUCUCUCCCAAACCUUAAGCCGCUUCUAUCCUUUAGCUGGGAAGCUCAAAGGAAAUGACAGUGUGGAUUGCAGUGAUGAUGGCGCUGUGUUCAUGGAGGCUCGAGCAAACGUUGAGCUCUCAGAAAUUCUGAGAGACCCGGAGAUAGAUUUGUUGCAGAAGCUUCUCCCAUGUGAACCGUACAGUGUGGGAUCAGAAUCAUCAGAUAGAGCAAUCACAGCCAUUCAAGCAACAAUUUUCGAGUGUGGCGGAAUAGGAAUUGGAGUAUGCAUGUCACACAAGGUGGCCGAUGGGGCAACGCUGGCCACUUUCCUCACCGCUUGGUCUGCAACAGCAAUGGGUACAGAUGAUGGCAUCACUCCCUUUUUGGACUCAGCGUCCCUCUUCCCACCAAGAGAUAUCAAUACGGUACUGUCCAGUGGUGUGAUCAGCCACGGUAAAACUCUAACAAGGAGAUUCUUAUUUGAUGCAGCAAGCUUAGCCCGCCUGCAGUCCAAAGCAUCCAAUUCUACCCGUGUAGAAGCUGUUACAUCUCUGAUAUGGAAGUCAGCCAUGGAUGUGGCCAGAGAAAAAUCAGGGAAGGACACCAUAUCAUCCAUUGUCACACAUGUAGUGAAUCUACGGGGGAAGACAGAGCCACCACUGUCGGAUCGCUCUUUAGGAAACCUAUGGCAGCAAGCAGUUGCAACAGUAACGGAGCAGGAAGGCAAGGUAGAGCUGGAUGACUUGGUGGGAAGGCUGAGAAGAGCAAUAAAAAAGGUAGAUAAGGAGUAUGUGAAGGAGAUUCAAGGCGAAGAAGGGCUAUCAAAGGCUUGUGGAGCCAUGAAAGAAGUCCAGAAAAUGAUCAUGUCCAAGGGAGAGAUGGAGCUGUACAGGUUUAGCAGUUGGAGCAGAUUUCCAUUUUAUGAAACUGAUUUUGGGUUUGGGAGGCCUAUCUGGGUGUGCACUAUUACUGCGCCUAUCAAGAAUGUGAUCAUUUUGAUGGACACAAAAUCUGGGGGUGGAAUAGAGGCUUGGGUGACAAUGGUUGAAGAAGACAUGACCAAAUUCCAACGCCACUAUGAGCUUCUGGAGUUCGUUUCAUCAACACAAAGUGCUUAAACUGUUCACAAUUAAUUAUGCCUCUCUGAAAAUCGAUCCGUGUUCAUUUGUGUUUGUGUAAUUAGGGGAGGUUUCUGUCACUGAUGCUUCAUAUUCAACUGUUCCAAGUCUUUGGUGGGUGUCAUAGUCUUGACUAAGGUCAUUAUGGAGAGAAGAGUCUCCUCUGUGUGAUUUCACAUUACCUAAGCAUGUUUAAACAUAUCCUCCAACAUGUAUAUUUGAGAAUAUUUUCAAAAAUUAUUCUCAAAAUAUAGUUGCUGUUUACAACAAAAGUUUGUUUGGGUAUUUCAAUAGUCUCAACUUGUUUUUUAUGUUUUUGUUUAAAAUAAAUUUUAUAUGUGAUUCUUUAUUUAUAAUUAUUUUUCAUAUUUAUCUCUUUAUUCUUUAAAUUAAAAAUCUUUGAAAACUACUCAAAUAUGACCUUAAUUGUAUAUUUAUCUCUUUAUUUAUAAUUAUUUUAUUUUUUAAUAAUUUAUUUCUAUUAAAUAUUAAAAAGUAAAAAAAAAAAAAAAACAAUAUAGUAUUUUUGGUAUUUAAAAAAAAGUUAAAUAUUUUGAUUUUUUUAUCCAAUUAAAAAAAUUUUAAAAAUGAGUAAUAAGUUAACAAAAAAUUAAAAAACAAAUUAUCUAAAAUUUAAAAGUAAAUUAUAUACAAUAAAAAGUAAAAAAAACAAACAACACAUAAAUUUUAUAUUAUGACGUACCAUAAGUUAAUAACUACCCUACUAACUGAAUUACAAUCAUCACAAGUACAUGGAAGGAUAACAAUUUAUUCUUUGCUAAUUAAUGACAAACUCCAAAGUUAUAAAAUACAUAUUUUUAAUCAAUAAUAACGCAUAGCAUAUACAAUUAAGGAAAAUAAUUUAUGUUUUUUUAUGUUUUUAAGAACAAAAAACCGUUCUACCUGAGAAGCAGAAAAUGGGUUAUACCUGAGAAGGAGAAUGCCAUCACCCAUGAAGGCAUGUCUAGUCCCAUUUAUAUAGAAAAUUAAACAAAAAUAAUUUAAUUUAUUUUUGCAUUGUACACUUCCUGAAUAUAUUUAAAAUAAAAAUAUAAGAUUAUUGUCCAUAAAAAUCAAAUAUAAAAAUUCAUGUAAAUAAUGUUAUUUUAAUGUGAUUAAAAUUUUUUAGAAAAUAAAAUAAACCGACAUCCUCCAUCGUCCAUAGAUUUUAUAGAAUGGUUGUGUCCUAAGUUCUUGAUUAGGGACGUGUUAGGGUGGGAUCCUAACACGAGUUUGGAAUGGGGACAAGAAUGUAUUUAGAUAAUUAUAAACGGGGUUGGGGUUGAGAAGAGGGUGACCCAUUCGUGUGAACAUUAGGAGUUUGAAGCCAAGACCAGAAACCAGGAAAUGAGAUAAGAGAAUCAGAUCAAAUGACCAUCAACACAAGCAAAAAUCACAAAUAGCUUUGUGCAUAGCUAAGCUCUUUUAUUCUAACAUAAUGAUAUCCUGUAUAGAUAUAUAGAAAGAGAAUGAUUGACUUCAAAAAAUUUCCAUCAGGCUUUUUCUUAUUGGUAGAAACUCUCCUACAUCAUAUGAUAUCGGUUUUCUGUUAAUAUAGUAGGUGAGGAAUUAAAUAACCAUGAACACUCCACCUCAUGAACCAUGUCAUCAGUUUUAUGAAAUCCCAUCUCAAAUGUCAAAAAGAAAAAAGGAAAAAUAAUGGAGGCACAACAAAUAUCUGAAGCUCACUCCCAAACCUGAAGAUGUGGAGGGAAAUGCUUUCAGGGGACAAGCACAGCUUCAUUACUUGCAACUCUCUUUGCAGCCAUUUCUUCUAGAAGUUUCCAUGCGGCUUCCCGUUUGGCUUUAAUUUCAUCUUCCUUUGAUUCGUCUUCCUGGAACUUGAGCAAGCAUUCCUUGUACAGCUCAGGAUCAAGAUCAAAGAAAAUCUUGCGGACAUUUAAAGUCAAGCCAUGGACAGCCUGAUUCCAAUGGUUUCUAGCAUUUUUCUCCAAGGCAGGGAAGAUGAUGGGCAAUAUAAUACCGCGAUUUUGUUUGAUUAAGUUCUCAAUGUGACCAUUAUUCCAUAGGAACAAAGCUCUCUCUGCCACCUGAAAAAACAAGCAUCAGUUUCAAGGAGUGUGAUUCAGAAAUUAAAGACAACAUUGCAUGGUGGCUAUUUUCAGAACAAGUAGCUUCAAGGAAAUACCCACUUGACUCACGUCUUGUUUUGGUCCAAUUUGUUUCCAUGGAAGAAAUUUCUGGCAGAAGAGUUAGCAUCAAUUUUGGUACCUCAUCAAUAAACUGAUCAAGAGUUCCAUGUGCUAGGUGAGAAGCUCAGACUUGUAACCAUUUUCUUGUGUUUUUUGAGUAGUGCCACGAAAACUAACAGUUUUAAGCUGCCAUUUCUGAGGUGAUUUGUAGCAUUUUCAUUAGUUCAUCUUUUUGUUCAGAAAAUUCUGUGAAAUUAGUUGGAAGUUGAUUCCACUAUCCCUUUGUCCAGUGCAUAGAGCACACUUGCAUCACCGUCGCACUUGUCAUUUCUAGCCAGUUUAAUCAUAUUUCCCACCAGAGAUGAUUUCCAUAGAAAACAAAUAGAACCUUAAGGAACUUGGAUUCCAGAUAGGAAGCCUUGAAGGAAUGAGGGCUGGGAUGUUGGGUGGGAAGGCCAUAGGUUUAUGCAAACACGUCACCUUGUUCAAGAAUAGUUCAAACAGGAACAAAGAAAUCAUUAGUUUGUUAGGGAAGUGAAACUUUCUAUUCCUAAGGACACUGGAGCCUUUGGGUGUCCUGGAAGGAGAGAGCAUUUUCUAGAUGACCAUUGAGCCCUUACAGUGAAUAGCAAAGCUGAACUAGAAGAGAUCUCACUUAGGGAGGAGAUGUACAGGAGGCAAAAGUCUAGAGUGAACCGGACCAAGGACACCGCAAUCCCAAGCCCUUCCACAGGGUAAUGGCAGAAGAACUUGGUUAAGGUUAUUUAUGUUAAGAUGAGACUGUGUUAGGUGUCCAAGACCACAUUGAGGAAGAGUUUUACUCUUUUUAAAUAAAUUUAUAAAAGCUAACCUGGAAGAGAUCUUACCCAGGGAGGAGAUGUGCUGGAGGCAAAAGCUUACAGAGAAUGCACCAGGGAAGUAGGGCACCACACCUCCAAGUUCUUUCAUAAGGUGGAAGAUGGCAAGAGAAAAAAGAAAUCGAUAGUCUAUUCAGACAACAGAUAGAUCUAACAAGGAUAGUAAUAAGGAUUGCAUUGUAGAAGAGUUUUCAAGUUCUUUUCAGAAAGUAGUAGUUGGCGGUUGGAGAAUUUAGAUUAGCUCCCUAUUCCUGAGGAAAUGAAAUGGUAGUUUUGAACACAAACACACAAAACUAAUUAAAUAUUUUUUUUUUUUAUAAGUAAAAGAUAUGCAUUAAGAAAGGCUGAACGCCGCACAGCAUACAGGAAGUAUACAAGACAGCAUGGGCCUCAGAAAACAAAACAGAGAAACACCUCCCUUUAAGUGGAGGCUAUCCACUCUAAAAAGCCUAUAAGGGAGAACGCCUCCUCACCUACAUACAAUUUGGCCCAACUCCACAAGUUACAAACAAAAGAAUUCUUUAACUUUUGAACAUUCAAAACCCCCCCCCCCUAAAAGCUAAUCUAUUCCUCUCCUUCCAUACCGUCCAAAAAAUACACAACGGAAUGGCAUCCCAUAUCUUUUUCCUUUUCUUUCCCACAAACGAGCCCCUCCAACUAGCUAAGACCUCCUUUACAGUUCCUGGAAAAACCCAUUUUACAUCAACUAAACCAAAGACAAUAUCCCAUAAGGCUCUAACCACUGUACAAUAUAUAAGUACAGUUAUAUUUUUACUGUCUUUGUCCCUAAGAAACUCACCACAUUCAUUACUAUCAAAGACUUUAGACCCAUUAGCCUAGUAGCCAGCCUCAACAAUUACCAAGGUCCUCUCCAAAGCAUUCCUGGAAAGUGCUUCAUGAGACCAUUCACCCAUAUCAAGGAGUUUUCAUGAAGUGUAGGCAGAUUCUCGGUUGUGUGCAUUGGUGGAUGAGAAAGUCCAUUCAGGAGAAGAGGGACAUUUAGAAUUGAUUGUAAAAGCAAAUAACCAUGUUGAUUGGGGAUUUUGGAUUUAAGUCUAGAUGGAGGUUACACAUCAAGUGUGUUUUGUCUUUUUCUUUUUUACUUUUACUUUCUUUUUUUAUAGGCAAAACAAGAAAAAAUAUUAUAAGCACCUGAGAUAGGGUGCACUGAAGAACACACAGUAUAAACAAAUAGCACCAACUGGCAACCAAAAAGAGAGAGAAAACAAAAAAAAUCUCUCCUUAAUUGAAAUUCAACCAAUCCACAAAGCCUAUCAUGGUCAUAAAAUGAUCAUCUAUAUACAUUCUAGCCCAAUCCUAAAAGAUGCAUGUAAAGGAAGAUUUAAUUGNNNNNNNNNNNNNNNNNNNNNNNNNNNNNNNNNNNNNNNNNNNNNNNNNNNNNNNNNNNNNNNNNNNNNNNNNNNNNNNNNNNNNNNNNNNNNNNNNNNNAACAGAGAAAAAAACCCAACUGCCACAAGAUUCUUGCUUUGGAACAAUGAAGAAGCAUGUGAUCAACCGACUAUCCUUCCCCUUUAAACAUGAAACAUCUCUUCAGAAUACUUCACCCCCACCUUCUAAGCUAAAUUAAGUAUUAAAAUCCUUCCUCAUAUAGCUUCCCAAGCAAAGAAACCCACCUUUGUCAGCACCCAUGGGUUCUAAACUAUGCUUGCGGGAAAGGCUCACUUCUUCCCCAAGCCAAGGAAGUAGAAAGAUUUGACAGAGAACUUGUCACUCUUGAUUUCCUUCCACCCUAAUCUAUCCUCCCCAUUCCUUCUUAUUAAGCUCAAUUGCAGUCUCCCAAAAUAGGUUCCCACUCCUUCCAAUUCCUAAUCAUGGAUAUGAAAGGGGGGACUCCACUGGCCCGCUCCCAAACCUGCUCCCACAUCUUUGCUAUCCAAGAGUCUUUAGCAACAAUUAUAGAAAAUAAGACCAUGAAGGACUCUUCCAAAGUACAUUCUCCACACCAUCUAUCUUUCUAGAAUUUUGCCCUUUUGCCAUUACCUAAAUAAAGCGAGAUCUGCUUUGAAAGACCUCCCAGCCGAUACUAAUAGUCUUUCACAACCCCACCCAUAGCCAUCCCUUGCCACCCUCAACCAGCAUCCUCCUUUCAUCUACCACAAGCUUUCCUGCUAUGACCUGAUUCUAAAGGAACUCCUUCUCAAUAGCAAACCUUUACUCCAUUUGCUAGGGAGACCUUGAUUAAGAGUGCGGAAAUUUCUUAUGCCAAGACCUCAAUUCAUCUUAUCCAAUGGGACAAUAGACCACUUAACUAAAUGGGGUUUUUUCUCAAAUGUCACCCCCUUCCCUCCUCUCUCCCUGUAGUCUACUCUAGUCUUAAGCUCACUCUUUUGGGAAUGGGGACUAAAGACAUGACAUAAAUUGGUAAGCUUGACAACAUGCACUUAAUCAAGGUGAGUCUCCCUCCCUUUGAGAUGUAUUGCCUCUUACACAAGGCAAGCUUUCUCUGAAAUCUCUCGUCCACAUAUUCCUCACCCCCAUUGAUUUGUGAGGAGCUCUCAAAGGAAGACACAAGUAUGUAGUAUUUAGAUCCCUUAUCUUGUGGCCCACCACUGAAACUAGUCCCUCCACAUUUGCAACUUUCCCUAACAGAAUUAGUUUACUUUUCUUCAUAUUUAUUCCUAAGUCGGAUAUUGCCUCAAACCACAUGAAAGCCCAACUUAGAUUCUCUGAAUGCUCUUGAUUAGUCCCAACAAACAACAAAUGGCAAACUUCCAUUCUCUCACCACCUCUUCCUCCUACUUUGAAACCUGAGAUGGAGCAAACCCCCCUCCUCUCUUCUAGCCCUCCUCAAAAUCCAAUAGAGUGCCUCCAUUACCAAAAUGAGAAAGUAGGAGGAAAGAGCAUCUCCUUGCCACAAUCCCCUCGACCUCUAAAAAAACUGCUUGGGGGGCUAUAUUGACUAGAAUUAAGAAUUUCACAGUAGAUAUGCACCAUUUAAUCUAUCUCAUUGACUAAUGACCAAUGUCCAUUUUAUCUAAUACCAAUAACAAGAAGUCUUAAUUUUCAUGACCAUACAUCCAAUUUACAUGAUUAUAUCAAGUGUUGUCUAUACUCAAUUAGCUUCAUUGAACUUGUGAAUGGAAAGCUAAGGUUUUGUGGAGGCAGCUCAAGGUCAUAGAGGGGUGAGGAGGGGACAGACUUCUGCUUUCAUAGUUACUAAUACAAAGGAUUUUUGGUGUAGAAUGUUGGUGAGAUCUUUUUUUUUUUUUUUAUCAGAAACAGACAAAUGCGUUAAUAGAAAAACAAAAGAAGGAUGGAAGGUCCUCCUCAUGAAAAACAAACCUGAUCAAAAGUAACUAAGUAAACCUCCAAAAAACAAAGAAGACUAUACAAAAAGAACAAAAAGGCCUAUACAAGUAAACCAACAGCAGCCCCUAUAACACAACCCGAACGUGUACAAAUCGAGAGCCAACUAAGCUGAAUUACACUCAAAGGUGGGGUUUAAAAAUGUCUAUACAAUAAGCUCAAAAAGAAACAAAAAAAUGAAGUGAAUCCCACAAUGAAUCCAAUGUCCUCCAAGUGUUCUCGAAUAUCCUAGCAUUCCUCUCUUUCCACACAAUCCACAACAAAGAAAGACAAGCUAUUCUCCAAAUAGUCCUUCCUCUAAAUGAAUUCCCAAAACACUUAAAGGAAAUCACCAUCAUAUCACAAAUAGUGUCUGGCGAAACUCACUCCAUCCCAGCCUAUGAAAAAAUCCUUUGCCACAAUCCUAAAACAAUCGGACAAUGCAAGAAAAGAUGAUCAAUUGUCUCACUACUACUCCUGCAUAGGAUACACCAAUCAAGGGUAAAGGCUUUGAAAGGUCUUCUCAACUAUAGCAAGUCGUUAGUAUUUACCUUCUUAAGUGCCACUAACCAUGCAAAGGUCUUGACCUUAGAUGGAACUUUUGAAUUCCAUAGAAAAUUAGCUGGGUAGAAGGGGACUGAAUCUGGAGAACAUCAUAAAACUGAAAAAAACAACUUAACUGAAAAAACUCCUGAUGAGGACAAUACCCAAGAUCUUGUAUCUGAAAUAUAAGGAGACAAAUGGAAAUUGAACAAUAAGGACAUUAAUCUUUCAAGAUCCUCAAGGCUUUUGAUGAGAUUUGAAGAUGGGAGUUUCAUCAAGGCUUUUGAAAUGGGUGGAUAACGAAAAAGACGUCCCCUUAAUUUCAGCAUGAUAUGAUAUUUUUCUCAAGGACGAAUGUUGAUGAAGUAUCUGAAAUCAAACUUAAUCUCUUAAAGUUUGAUUUUGUGACAAGCCUUAAAGUCAAUAUUGACAAGAGCACCCUCCAUGCUUUUACCCCUUUUCUUACCCUCCAUGGUACUGGUGUGAAUCAAACUAACCUCCUGCAAGUUGUAUUUCAAGCUUUAUUUAAUGUCUCAAAAUUGUUUGUUUCUCAAUGGAAAAUGACUCAAAAAUUUGCAUUUGGGAAAACCUUUGGUGAGCAAAUCAGCCUCUUUGUGUUGUCCACCCAAAAUUUCAUAGCAUUUUUAAGGAUUAAGGAUAUUCCUAUUUCUCAUGUCUCAAAUCAUUAUCAGUCCUCUUCUUGGAACUUUGAUUUUCAUCGAAAUCUAUCAAAUCAAGAUGUUCUAUGCAUAAAGGUGAGGAGGAAUCUAGUGAGGACAUCAUCCUCCUCCACUGCUCUAAGGCAAGAUUAUUAUGGAAACAGGUCUUCUUGUUGUUUGGAGUUGUAUGGGUGUUGCAAGCCUUAGUUAAAGAAACAUUAUUAAGUUCAAAAGGUCGUUUUGUCAGAAAGAAGAGGAAGAAAGCAUGGGAAAGUUGCUCCUUUAUGCUUGUUUUGGACUAUUUGGAAAAAGAUAAAUAGGACAUUUGAAAAUGUUGAGUUAUCAAAUCAAAAGCUUAAAUCCUCUUUUAUGUGUAACUAUUUAGAGUGAACCAAAGGAAACUUAGAGGUUGGGUUCAUGUCCAUGUUUGAUUUUGGCAAUUGGUUAGAUGGUAAGUAAGGGGAAGGAGUAUUUUUGGUUUUCUCUUUUCUUGUUCUUUGCUUUGUAGUGCACUUGUAUACAUCAUGUAUACUUUGUGUGGCCUGUUUUUGCCACUUAUUAAAUUGCCUAUCAAGAAAAUCUAUCAAAUCAAGAAAUUCAUUAUUUUUGUUUUUACUCUCUUUGCAAGCCUUCCUUUUCUGAUGUGAGGGUUUAGAUUUUGUUUCCUUUAUGUCCAUUUUCCAUUAAAUUUUUUUAUUGUGCCUUUCCAAUCAGUGAUUCUCCAGUUGAAUUUCCUGAAAUUAGAUCCAUUGGGUGCCUAGGGUUCCUACAAAAUAAAAGCCUUUGCAUGGUUAAUGGCCUAUAAAAUGAUUAGUAGCAAUGAUCUUUUAACAGAUAAGCAGACCCUUAGGAGUUCCCAAUCCUAAGCUUUGUGUUCCCUACUUAGAGAUUGAUGAGGUAGUGGAUCAUCUCAUUCUACAGUGUCCUAUCAUGGAUCUUAAGUAAUAAUAGACUAUUUUGAAGGAGAAUUUAUCUUGAGAUUCCCCUACAGAUGUUCUAGAUAGGAUGCUCAGGAUUCUAGCCUAUAAUUUUUCCUUUCCUCGUCUUCAAGAAUUGCUCAGCCCUCCUGUUUCCUUAAUUUUUUUUCUAUUUUCCAUUUUUUUCCUAUCAAAGCACAGGUUGAAAUGGAGUACUAUGUACAUUAAGAGACUGAUAAGAAAACAAGCUUGUGAACACCAACACAACGCAUCUAGCAUUAAGGCAAUAAUUCCCAGGGACAAAAACAAUAGAUUUUAAUAUUUUCAGUAAAGAUACAUCUAUCAAAAAAAAUAUAUAUUUUCAGUAAAGAUACGAUGGAAGUUUUCAUAAGCAAUCAUUUAACUGCUGAAGAUAGGGAAUGCAAUUUGAAGUGCGUUUAAUCUACAAAAUACCAUACAGAUCUAAACCUGUAUCAAAGGCAAACUUUUAAAUUUCAAGAAUCUGUUUCAAAUUUUAGGGGCAUUGUAAAAUUAUUUACAUUUCAAAUUUUUUGUGGCACUAAAUAAAAUUCAUAUAUACAAAUUUUCAACAAAAAUUCAAGAUUUUAAGUCUUUAAGUUCAAGCAAUAAAGAAACCCAACAUCACCAAAUGCUAAAACAAGAGUUCUGGGGGCCCAGUUACAAGCCUCUUAAAAUCUGAAUAUAGAGCAUAACCACCAAAAAUAAGCAAGGAUCGUGUUUUGAACUUCAAAAUACCCAAGUUCAGAUGAAAUGUAAGAAUAAAAAUGAUGUUGUGAACCCCUUAUAACAUCACUCAGGCACAGUAAAUUGUAGUAGCAUCAGUUACAAUCAAAGGAUUGUUUUAGAUGGACCUUAAUAUCCAAACCUCGUGUUCUUUUAUGAUUCAUUAAAUCUCACAACCUCAUAAUAGGAAGGGUUGUAGAAGAAAUAAGCUGUCAUGAACAGCUCAGAAUAUGGCUGACUCAUCAAGAAGCUUCUGAGGUUAAUUCAUCAGUUAAAGGAGCUGAGCUUGAGCCUAACUGCUUAACAAGCCAAGCUUCAGCAAGAUAGGUAGACUUGAAAAGGCUCAUGAAACAAAUGGGCAGGCUUUACGCAGUUGUUGUUAACAUAAUUCCUAAAGAAAUUAAACUAAAUGAAACAGUUUAAAACAAUGUUGGCAACAAAUAUUGAGGCAAUGGGAUGACAUAAGCAAGCAGAGUACACUGUUAACUUUUUAUCACACAUCGACAAAAACAUGGGCCUGAAUUGUCCCGAAAAAAUUAAUGAUGUAUUAGGCUAAUGAUCCAACACCUUUAGCUAAUGAGCAAGUUCAAGACAACUUGCACGAACAAACAUUGAAGAGGGCUAGUUGGGAUAAGAUAUGGUCAAGCUUGAGCCAAGCUAAAUCAAAGUUCAGAAGACCAGAAUUUGAACAAUCUAAUACUCUGCUCAGUAGGAGCUGAUUUGCACCAUAAUUUUGGUAACCCAACAAUCUAAAUGAACUUUAAGAAAAGCUUAGAGUUAUGAUAAUUCCAACAAAGUUCAUAAAGAUAAAGCAUAAGCAUUUUUGUACCUCUUAGGUGAGGCAUAAGCUUUUUGAGACCCUAAUUACAUAAUUCAUAAAUAUUUAAAAUAAUUUUUAUAGCAUAUUUUCAUGCAAAAUAUUUUUUUCAAACCCUUUGAAUCAUACUGAAAAAUAAUAAUAAUAAUAAUAAUAAUUGAAUUCAAUAGAUUUUUUGCUAUUUGAAAAACCUUAAAUAAUUAGAUUGCAUAAAAUUUUCCUCUAUGUAAUUAAAUAAGUAAAUAAAUAACAAUUUAAAUAGAAUCAAACAAAAUAUAAUAAAUAAACAAUUAAAAAAGGUGAGUUUGGCGUAGAAGAGCAUUAGUAGAGUUUAAAAUUUAAAUGAACAAAAAAAAAGUGGAGACCAGAAAUGUGGCCUGUUUCAAUAGGUAGAGAAGAGGCGUGGAGAGUUGAGAAAAGUGGACUAUUGAAAACUGAAAUAGAUAAAUGAAAAAAAAAAAAAAAAAAAAAAAAACUAAAACUUAGUGUGGAUGGCAAAAAAGGGAGAAGAGAAUUCAGACAAUGGAGUGGUCUCUCAAAUUAAGAAAUAAAAUAGAAUAAAAUGAAGCGGCGUGAGAAAGAAAGGGAGAAGAGGAGUUGUUGGUGAGAGUGUGGGAUGUCGAUGGUUUUUUUUUUCUUUUUGUUUAUCCUUUUCUUUCUUUUUUUUUUCCUUAUACAUACAUACAUAUAUAUGUAUCAAUAAAAAGAGGUAUGUACUAAGGCAUACAAGUUUUAUACAAAGGAUAACAAAAGGCACAUCUAGGAAGAGGGGAAAAUACAAAAACUUGCUCCCUUCCUCAUCCAGAUCCCACCCGAUCCACCAAAUUGAUUAAAGGCAUUGAUCCUCUUGCUAUGUACAUCCUAAUGCAUGUUGACAAACUUUUAACAAAAGAGCUCUUCAAUACCUAGUAAAUGGAUAGGGUACCACUUACUAAAACAAGAAAUAUUGUUGUAAAAAUACACCAUUUGAUCCAUUUAAUCCAUUUCUUACCAAAACCCAUCUCAUCAAGAAUAGCUAGCAAGUAGCCCCAGUUGACAUGAUCAUAAGCCUUCUCAAUAUCAAGCUUACAAAUAACUCUACUAGAAUUGCUCCUCAGCAUAAAAUCUAUAGCCUCAUCAACAAUUAGAGUCACAUCAAUGAUUUGUCUUCCCUCUAUAAAGGCAUUCUGGAACUUGGAAACUACCCUUCCUAUCACCUUCUUCAACCUAUUGGCUAGAACCUUAGCUAAAACUUAUGUAACCUACCCACUAGACUAAUUGGUCUCAAAUCUUUUAAAUCCUUGACAUCACCUUUCUUAGGAAAUAGCACAAAAAAAAGUGGCAUUCAGAUUUUUUACAAACCUUUCCUAAACAUAGAACUCCAUGAAGAAGCCUAAAACUUCCUCUUUCACAAAAUCCUAACAAAAUUGUCAAAAGGCCAAAGAGAACUCAUCAGAGCCAAGACCUUUAUCCCCAUCCAAUUUUGACAAAUCGUAGAACACCUUCUCAAAGAAAGGCACCUUUAACCCAUCAGUCUCCUAACUAUCUAAGGCUUUGAACGACAUCCAUUGAUGCCAAGUUUCCAAUCCGUUGAAUCAAACAAAAAAAUUGUGAUAGGCUUUAGCUACCCCUUCCUUUAUCUUAUUCUCCCCAUUCAGCCAAACCCCAUAAACUUUGAUCUUGCCCAUAAAUUUUAUUCUCCUAUGCACAUGAGCCAUCUUAUGGAAAAAUUUAGUAUUUUUGUCUCCCUCCUUCAACCAAAUCUCCCUCAAUUUUUGUCUCCAAGAAACUUCUUCCAAAGAUGUUCAUUUACAAUACUCUUCUCUUGCUGCAAAUGAGAAGUUGUAGAUGUCAAGAGAGAGAGCACCACAUAGAAAGACUUAAUUAGGUUUUCUCUACUCAAACCAAAUCCUCUUAUAAUUUGAGGUUUUUUCUUCUUUAUGGUCAAAUGCAUCUUUAAGACAUGUGCCUACCCACCAGAGCAUGAAAGGCGUCCAAUAGCAUACCUCACAUACACCCUAAUUCUGAAAGUAAACGCCUUUAGGGUGUCUAGCUCUUUUGGUUGUGCCUCAACACAUUUUGGGAAGGACUCAUAAUAAAGCAUGCCCCAGCCCACAUCUUAAUAACACCUCUGAAAAUGCCGAUUUCCAAUUUGAAGAAAAAUCAAGAAAGAGUUUGCUAGGUAACUAGAAGUAUUUCUGGGAAAUAGGCCUUAAAGCAGAAACCAAAACUGUUGUCCAAAUAUAUCGAAGAGCUAUGUGGAUUUCUAGGGAACCAACCAUGCUCCCACAAGACAAAACCACGCAUGCCCUAAGCUUCUGGCUGUUAGCUUUCAGUAAGGAUUUUUUUAAUAUCACACACUUCUAUAAGAUCGCCAACAAAAAAUAUGAUCUCAAUACAGUUUUAAACCAGGUAUUAGGCUUUAAAAAUGGACUGAUUGAUAUUCCUAAGCUACUUCUCCAUUUCUAAAUGAACAAUAGUGUGUAAUAAAGCACCAGCAUUAUUGAAGAUGAAGCACCUCAGAACAUUAUAUCAAGUUCAUCAUGUUAUCCCAUAAAAUCUCAACUCAAGGCUGGGUCCAAUUAUUGUUACUUUGUUGACACAUCUUGGUUUUAACAAUUCAAGUACCAAUUUCAUUCAAUUAUCUUCCUUAUAAAACAAACCAAAAUUUCCAAUAACCAUAGGAACUAUCUCUAACCAUUGUUACCAUUCUAUUGCUUCCAAUAUAAUUAAGUAUUCUGACCUAUCAACAUGAAAACAGGUUCCAAAUUAAGCCUUUCUCAUGGACGAUAAUUCCAUUGAUUCAAGCAUGACAAGGAGCUCUUUAUGUGUACCCUAACCCAUUCCAAAAAAUUGUAUAUAAAUGAUUGUCUAAUUGCUUGAUCCUCAUUUUGGUGUUUUCAAAAGCUCUCCUAUUUUUCUAUUUCCAUAUGGUCAAAAUAAACAUAAAGGAGUUGUUCUCCACACUUUUUUCCUCUUUUUCCCAAUAAAUGAUCCAUGCUAGCUUAGAAGAACAUCUCUAAUUGAGGAGAACGUCACCCACUGAACACCAAACAGAGCGUAAAUUAACUACCAAAGCAUGACUGCACUGGAAUAAUGAAGGAGGAUAAGGUCUGUUUCUUCCUCUCCUUUCCACAAACAACACCUACUCGGCACUCCAACCCCUCCUUUUGAGUUGAUCCAAGGUCAAAAUUCUUUCCCACAAAACUUCCCCAGCAAAAAAGUCAACCUUCACUGGAACCCAAGUGUUCCAUACAAUGCUAGAUGGAAAUGCCUCUAUUCUACAAUUUGUUAAAGAGAAAUAAAGAGAUCUAACUGUGAAUUUGUCACUCUUUGAUACCUGCCAAAUCAUAAUAUCUUCUACAUCCCUUCCAAUCGUCUACAAUUGCAAUCUCCUUACUCCCAGUUGUUGUUUUGUCUUGUGAAUAAGGUAUUCCAACAACCUCCCUCCACAUUCUGGUCCCACAAAUCAGCUACUCAGGCAUCUUUAACAGAGGUAGAAAACAACUCAGAAAAACCUCUACCUCUCAUUUCUUCCAUGUUUUCUCUAUGAUAACAAGCUAACCUAAACUGUAUAUCAGUCCACGAACCAUGUGAACAUGGAAAUUAUGAGUAAUACACAUGGUGCACAACACAAACAUGAGGGAAAAAACACUUAGGAUAUAGAAUUGCCUUGAAAAAACAGAAACAUGGGGGAUAAAUCUUGGAUAUAGAUUUUGAAACAUUUGAGAUAGGCAUGGUAAGAUAACUCCCAUUUUUUAAAACUAUUCAUAUUCAACAUUUGAAACAUAUGCCAGAACAGAAAUGCAUUUGCACAGAAAUUAGUGGAUAGAUUGAGACAGAACAGCAAGAAACAUUUAAAACAUGAUACCUGGAAGUGUGAGCUGUUCAAGCAACGAGCAAUUUGGUGAAACAAGGGCACCAUACAGCGCUGGAAUUCUGCUGGCUGGGUUGCUUCUAAAAUUUCUUCUAACUCGCUUAGGAACAUGACUUCCUUUGAACUGUUUGUGAUUGGCCAAUAUUUUAAUAAACCCCUUAUAACUGUAUCAGCAAGCUUGCAGUCUUUCUCCACAAACUGACUAAUACAAUAAGACAGCUGUUGAUGAUACAUUGGUAAGCACUUUGGUUUGUGCAAGGGAAUCAGUGCCCGGACAAGGAACAGUUUGUGUUCUUCUUUCAGUGGCAGAGCAAACCCAUUUAUUAUGCUGCCCAAAAUUUCUAAAAGUUCAGCUAUGCCAUUAUGCUUUUCAGUCUCAAAAAUAAAACGAUAGAAUAUGUUGUUGAUAGCCUUCCUGAUGAAUGGGCGGUGUACCAUAAAUUUGCCAUAGACACGAUGAAGAAUUGUUUUUAGGUAUUCCCUUUCUCUGGGGUCUUCAGAGUCAAAUAGAUCCAACAACUUAAGAACAAAUGAGUGAUCAAUGUACCUCUUAGCCAACUUGGCAUCACUCUCAGGUGAUGCCACAAACCUUAGGAGAAACUCAUACACAAUUUGCAAGUGAGGCCAAGCAGGAUCAAUCGACGGCUCCUCCUCUUCCAAAUCAAAGCCUUCUGAAGCUUUGGUCUCACAUGACUGAGUAGUGAAUGCCCUAAAUAAAUUUGCAGACACCAUUUUUACACAUUCUAGCAUGACCGUUUCUGUGAAUUUCCCAGAUGCAGAAGUAACAUAAUCCACAAGCUCUAAUAAUGUCUGACGCUUGAUCUCCUUUUCUUUGAUGUUCUUUGUUGGGUCCGUGAAGUCAAACACGACACAACACAAGUUCAGCUUUCCAAUGAACAAAUUCUGUUUCUCGGAACUGGGGACAUCCCUGAAGGCCGGCAAUGCUUCGUAAGUGUUAGGAGUCAUAUAAUUCCCAUUGACCUUCGAAUUACCACCUUGGGGAAUUUUGCUCCCAAGAUUAUUCCCGGUAAUUGGAGUAGAAUUAGAGGCUGCAAGAGAUGUAACAUUCAGAUUUGCAAACUGGUUGCUCUCCACAUCACUGCCUCUUGAUCUAUUAGAAUUAUUCGAGAAUGCAGUCGUCCCACCAAGCUCACGAUUUUCAACUGCCUUAGACAACUUCCGAGGAAGCUUACUAAAUAUCUGUUUGAUCAUGCUUCCAACAAUACCCCUUCAAAAAACCAAUAAAACCAACGAGAAAAAAAUAUUUGCGAAGCCCCUCUAAAGCUAAUCACAAUCCACCCAACAAACCUAAACCUCAACUUCUCGGGUAUAUUAGGAAUAAAAAACACCCAGAAUCAUGUAGCCAAUUCAACAAACUCCAUAGAUGUCAACACACCAAGAAGCCAAUCCUAACCCUUUCCAGUAUUUUCAUUCUUACCAAACAGAGGGGGCCAAAUCCCCACUUCCCACCCGGAAAGCACAAGCAAACCCACUUCAGUAAUUACGCAUCAAUGACCAAAACCAAGCACAGAUGCCUCAACCAAGCACAGAUGCCUCAACCAACCAAAACGAAAACCCUCAAUUGCCAAAAUUCUAAGCAUUGCUUCACUUUUCACCAAAAUCCAAGUGAAAAGAUUCGAACUUUUGACGUAAAUUAAAAACCCCAGAUGUGUAAAGCCACUCAAAACAAUGAAUCAGCAACAAAUUUCCAGAUUAAACUAAGAAAAUCCCCUUUUUCAGUUCUUUAACAUGAAAAAGGGGGAAAAGUAUAGAGAGUUCCGAUAAAGAGAAAAAGGGAAACCCAAAUGAGAUAUAAGAAACACAGAGAGCUGUUAAUAGUACUUACAGAAAAAUUAAUAAUGAUAACAAUUCAACUAUGCUCUUCUUUUCUUGCUGUUGUUUGUGGACUGAGAAAAUUCUUUCUUUAUUGUUUUCUCGGGAGUCAGUUAUGGUGGUGCUCCAAAUAUGAGUCAGCCUCUGUUUUUCUACUCGUUGCUGGGCGUUCUCGGAAGUCAAGUCAAAGCAAAUCAAAACCCAGGGUUGAAACUUGAAACGCAUCAAAA
rnacentral:lncRNA from 1 species